AUGUGGCUUCGUUUGGGAUUGCGGGGAGAUUGUAUUACAUGCGGUGAAAAAGUACGUUGAAAAAAUAUUCUAUUUCUUUACAUAUCGCAUAUCGCGAUAAGUCGGUUACGAUAUAUUUUCUGCAGUUUUUUCGGAGAAUGCAGAAGUAUAUUUCUAUAUGCUUUUAUUCCAACUUUUUUUAUCUAAUAGCAUUUAGAUGACUCUAAUACUAAACUAAGCCUGCAUCUCUCUAAUUCUAUUUGUUUUCCCCGAAUGAUCUGUGGAUGUAAUUGAAGCGAUUAGAUGGAGUUUCUUAUUUUUGCGACACUGUUGGUUAGUUGCUUUUAGCCUGGGAAUUACCUAGAAAAACCAGCAACUGAACAAUGUGGUGAAAAUAAAGCAUAAUAAAUAGCAAAUGCUUACUUGAUUUUCUGUUGAAUUUUAUUUUUGUCAUGAAACAUUAUGUUGGAAGGGUGGAAGACAUAGAGCUGCUUUUCUUCUUGUGCGUGAAGUCUCGUCUCAUUGUUGUGAGGUUGUUUCUGAAAUCUGACGAUGAAAAUAACCGUUCUCGUCUUCCGCCCGCUCUGGGGUUGUGUGCUGCUUAAAUGACUGGGUGGACUUCUGUUGCGAAUUCUGUGUGUUAUUUGAUGGUAUUUCUUUUUGUUUAAUUAUACUAGUUUUAUAGCAGGUCAUUGGGAAAUUCAGAUCAAAAGCUUUUCGAAUUAGAGUAAAAGAGUUUCUUGUAGCGCUUUGUUGGAGUCGUUUUCAGUGUUGCUCUAGGCUUUGUUUCACUGCACUUCAUGAAACAGCCCGAUUAGCAUCAAGUUCAUAGAAAUUAUGGUUUUGAGCGGAUCAUGUCAUUUGAGAUUCGGAGACUUUCUGACGGCGAACGCAUUCGGGGAUAACAUUACGAGAUAUUUUAGCGAAGUUGCUUACGUGUUCAAAAGGAUAAAUGCUUGCCGCUCCUUCCGGACGCUUCGCUUCGCUUCGCUUCUCUCUAAUUCUUAGGGAUAAUUACUACUUUCUGCUCUAAAAUUUUUACUGCAAACAUGUAGUAUCUUUUCAUCAUUCACAAAGCCUCAAGUAUCUUUUCAUCAUCAUCAUCAUCAUCAUUAUUAUUAUUAUUAUUAUUAUUAUUAUUUUUGCUUCACGUGAUAUUUCUCUUCUUUAACUAUGCUAGGCGCCGCAAAUUUCAUGACAUGUUUCAGACCGGAGUUUGGCAGAUCCAGCGCGAGCAUUAUUCCGAUAAAUUUCAAAGAACAGGAGUUGGAACAUAACCGCCGUUUGGAUAAUUAUUUUCGUAUAUAACAUUCUCCAUAUUUUAUUUUCUAUUAGGAAUUUGAAUGUUUAUGAGUUAAAUUUACUGUUUAGAUUUGGAAACCGAUUAUAUAUAUAUAUAUAUAUAUAUAUAUAUAUAUAUAUAUAUANUAUAACAUUCUCCAUAUUUUAUUUUCUAUUAGGAAUUUGAAUGUUUAUGAGUUAAAUUUAUUGUUUAGAUUUGGAAACCGAUUAUAUAUAUAUAUAAAGUUUGGAGACCAUCACCCUUCUUUUCCCCUUUUGUCUAGUUUUGAAAAUACUUAAACCUUUUUCCUCCCUUGGUUGGUACCCAAGAUUCCAAUUUCGAAUUCUAUUUAAUUCAUAUUUCUGGCUAAGUUUAUUUCUAAAUAAAAUAAACGAAGCAGGUAGCAUGCAUGCUAUCUAUCUCUCAAAAAAAAGAAAAAUAGCAAAAACAUAUGUGCAAUGCACCAAACUUAACAAAACUUAAAUUUAAUUAUUUUAUAAAAUAAAAUAAAUAUAAAUAGCUGUAAAUUUAGAAAAAAAAAAAUACAGUAACAGCAGUAACAUGUCAUUCCUUUUUGUUAGAAAUUUUUUUACAUUUCUAACAUAUCAUUUUCUAUAUCUAAAUGUCCAUUUUUAUAUUUGAGUCAUAAAAUAUAUAUAUAUAGCAGCUAUUUUUAAUAAAAAACAUAAGAGCUGAUGCAUAUAAAAAAAAACAAGGACUCUAAUGAAAAAUUUAAAAAUAACAAAAAAUAUAAAAAUAAUAAGCAAUAAACAUAGAAAUGAAAUGAAAUAAAAUAAAAUGAAUGAGAGCCUUCAUAAGAGAGGUGGCAAAUAAUACAAUGGAAAGAAUGCUAGAUAUAGUUUUAGCUCAUUUUGGUUACUCUUUGAAUUGUGAUGUGUGAACCAAACAUUUACGACCAUUACAAUAAUUUCUUAAUGCUAUUUUAUUUUUAAUUCUAAUUUACAAAAUUUGAAAUGUUAUGAUGAGAUAUAGUAAUUUCUUUUUAUGGCAUAGUGAAACUGAAAUGAAAGGGGAAAAGUCAAAUAAAAUAAAAUGAUUGCAUACAGAUUUGCCUAUCUCAAUAAAUGCGCAGAAACAACUAAAGAUUAAAAACGUAUAACAUUAAUACUCGAAUGGUCAAUAAGAAAAAAUAUUAGUUCUUAUCUGAUAACCUAAUAAAAUCAAGGCAAAACUGCUCCUUAUAAAUUAAAGAUUAAUUUACCUCAUAUAUGUGUAUAUAAUCGAGUUUUCUGCUGUUAGAUUUAUCAUUUGAUCAUUUUCACCUGUUAGAUUAAUUAUAUUAUUCAACCAACCACUCACUCAAUUCUAGAGGACCGCUAUCAUUUUAACCGUAUAUUUUUUCAUCGAACGGCCGAAAACUCGAUAGUAUCAAAAUGUUUGAUACUAUCGAUAGUAUAGUAACAUUAUAUAUAUAUAUAUAUAUAUAUAUAUAUAUAUAUAUAUAUUAGCCACACGUAUGUUAUAGUAUAUAUAUUUCGAGGUCAAGUUUGACACAGUAGUAAGGUUGUUUUACCAUGACUUAAGUGUCAUGGGAUGAAUCAUGGAAACAAUUAAUUAACAUCUCUAUGUGGGAUAGGGUUGUGUCAUUCAAUCCUGAUCUCAAAAUGAACUCAAUGGUGGAAGAGCAAUAAUAUAUACAAUAUUCAUGCAACGAAUUGAUCUUACUAAGAUUUAAAUUAACCAUGCGUUCUCUGUAUCAGAACUACAUAUAUUCCAAAAAAGGAAAAAAAAAAAACAUNACGUAAAGUAAUUUUACAUCUUAAACUAAUGUAGUAAUAUGUUAGUAUAUAUAUAUGCAGAACUUGAUUACAUCAUUAUACAAUCAUAAAUAAAUGCUAAAUUGUAAAUUGUACCAUUUUUAAUUUGCCAUAUUGAAAAAGAAAUCAAACAUAUGCAUGGAAUAACAAUAUUGGCCACUUUGCCCCGUUUGUUUCAUCAAAGUGACCUUUGGAUUGAAACGAAUUUUGAAUUGAAUUAGAGUAUAGAUGAAAAUUGCUUUUCCCCAUUGUUUAUUUUAUAGCUAUGUAAAUAAAGUUUCUCAAGUCCUGACAUUUGUCUGGCAAAAGGUUAAUGACUUAAAAACUAUUAUUUAUACAUAAAUAAUAAAUUAUAAUAUAAUAAAUAAGAAAUUAUAUAAUUGUAUACCUAUAUGUAAAAAUAUAAUCUAAAACAACUCAAUUAAUUUUCUUAUACAUAAACUAUAAUAAUGCAACAACAAAAUUAUAGAGUAGAAUAAAUAUUAAUAUUCAACUAAUCAAUUUUUAUUAUAUUUUAUAUGUACAAACUAAAUAAAAGAGAUAUUAAAACUUAACUAAUCAAUUUUAGUCAUAUUUUAAACAUGCAAACUAAAUAAAAAGUAAUUACAAUCAUAAUUAAUUAUAUUUAAAUAUAGGUAGCAUUAUCUAUUAUUUUUUUUUUUUCAACUUUUUCCAUUGUUAUUGACUUUGAUUAGUUGUGCUGUUUUGAAUAAUUUGAAUUUUGAUUAUUUUUUUUAUUAAUGAAAACAAUUUUAGCGUUCUCGGCAUUCACCCAAACAUAGAUAAAUCUCUUUAGAUAAAAUUAGCCCCAACAUUUUCCUAAUAAAACAGUAACUCUCCACUCUGUAUCUCUUUCCUCUUUUCUAUAUACAUAUAUAUAGCAUGGAGAAAAGAAAUAAGUGUAGAUUACUACUCCAAAGAAAAGAGUUAGAGUAGAUUACUAGUUAGUUCAAAACUGGAAUGCUAUAUAUGUCUAUUUUUUCUAAAUAAAGUCCUCAUUAUCUACAUUGCAUCACUGUAUAUAUAUGGACGCAAAAUAUGAUCUCCAAAAUGUAAAAAGCCUCUCCAUAUUUUCUCUAUAGCCUAUAAUGGAAAAUAAAAAGAAGGGGAAAAUGAAAAGCACAUAGUAAGAAGCUAUCUAUAAAAAAACACCCAGAAAAGAGACGUAAAGCGCAAGACAUAAGAGUGUUAAGGAUACGAGCGAGAAAAAGCUUACCAAAAAGGAGAGCACCAAGUAGGUCCCCGAAACCCUAAACCUCGCACCUCAUUUCGAAAACCCGAACCGGAGAAACUGGAAAAGUAGGCGUACCUCAGUUGCGAACGUCGUCGUCGUCGUCGGCGGCGGCGGCGGGGGGGAGGAGUAGCGGAGGCGGGCGGUGGCGCUCCGCCGAGCAGCGCAGCGACGCCACCUGCUCCGCCGAGAAGACGCAGACGCCGCGGGCGUAGAGCCUGUCCUGGACGACGGGCGAGUUGACGAGCACCUGGAGCAGCUGUUGCCGGUUCAGCCGGCCCAGCGCCGCCGCUGGACAGGGCAGCGAGCCGGGCGGCUCGCGCGGCGGGGCGAAGCGGGCCGAGCGCUCCGGCAUGGUCUGGAGCGCCGUGACCUGCGCCUCGAGGAAGCGCACGUACUUGUUCGCCUCCUCCAGCAGCGUCGCCGUGUCCAUCUUCCGCUCCCACGGCAUCAGCCCCCGCAGGAUCCUCGUGCGGUCGCUGAUGCUCUUCCUCCUCCGCCGCGAGAUCUCGCUCGGCGGUGGCCUCGGGAAGCCGGUCGAUCGCAGAGGAGGAGGCGGCGGCGGCGGCGGCUGUGGCGGAGGAGGAGGGGGAGGAUCGGAGAAGGAACGCUCCGGGAGGCGCUUCUUGGAGGGGCCAAUCAGUGAGAUCAGAUCCCCGGAGAAGCGCGGCGGAUCCGGGGCCUCCGCCACCAGAUCCGGCGGCGGUUCGAGCGAUCGGAGGCCGGGGAGGUGGUGGAACGCUGCGGAUCCCGCGGACAAAGCGAUCGCGCUUCGGUCGUCGAUCGCGAGGGGCUCGAUCUUCGGGAACUUGAGCUUGAGGCGUGAAUCCUGGGCGGAGGGGAGGCUCCCGAUGGGGUUGCUCCCAUGAAAUACAUCAAGGUCGUGGACGACGUUGCCGGAGCUGAGCCACUCCAUCGGCGGAUACGGCGCCGGAGCGAUUCCGAGCUGAGGAGGAGGAGGAAGGAGACCGCCGUAGCAGUCCAAGGCGUAGAGGGGUAGGGUUUCGGCGACGACGGGGUACAUGCUCCGCCACUCCGCGGAGUCUGUGGGGCCGGAGAGGGAGGGCGAGAUGAGAAGUUGAGGGAGCUCUCUAUCCAUUAAUGGAGCUCACCCUCUCUCCCUCGUCGAAAUCUCUAGAAGCUCCGAGAGAGUGCGGGUAAAGCAGGGAGAGGAAGAGGAAGAAGAAGCGGAGGUAGAAGAUGAGUGAGAUGAAACGAUGCCGCGUCUUAAUAAGGAGAAAUGAAAUAAAAAAAAUCAUACCUACUUUUGGUGCACCAUGUCGCGUCAUGAACCAUCCUCUACGAGCGACUGUAGAGAAUAGAGAGGGCUAAAAGCAUUUGCGGUUCACGGAAGAUCUUCUGCACCAAGUGCAGAUAAUAAAUAUUACUAGUGUCCGCCCAAGAGGCGGACACGUGUAAUGACACUAUUGGUCGAGUCUCUCCUGCUGAGAACGUAGCGUCGUUAUGCCGGUUCGGACGGUGGGACCCGCACGGUCCCGAGUGAUUCCAACGUAAAGAGUGACGCGCACGUGCCGGUCGGGCUCCCGGUCGAACCAGUCACCCCAUUCCCGCGCUCUUUGAAAACAAGUUAUCACCUGCACCCGGUUCAGUCGUACAUCCGUAGACCGGAAUGCUAUCCACCAUCCAUCCUUCAAGUUUUUGGAUGUUCAAAUUUUGGACGGUUAGAUUGAAAGGAGCUGGUGGAAUGGACAGUAGACGAUGACUAGGUUCACGGUAGUAUUGUGCACCUGCUGCGGUGGUGUAGUUCGAUCGCAAAUACUUUAAAUGAACUCUAACCGUUCGAUUUUGGUUUCGGUGGUACAAUUGUUCGAUCGAACGGUCAAGAGUAGAGAAAACAACACUUGGCCGCGGUUGUGACGGGCGUGCGCUUCGCACGUGCGGGGCGCUGGAAAGCGAUGGCGAAGGUGACGUUUCUGGCGAUGCCCGACAACGUCAGGCCCGGUCCCCUUGUACAGUACCUCUCGGCUAUCACAAAAUAACGAUAAUGCCCUGUGGAUGAUACUGGUGCACAUUUAGUGUAGUGUAGGAGGGAAAAGGAUCUGUGGCACUUUUGUUAAUUUGGGAUAUUUUAGGGCUCUUUGUUAGGAAGGUGCCGUGGAAUUGCGCACGUGCGAGUUGUUGCUUCUUACGUUCCAGGUUGGGUAACCGUAGCAUUUUCAGGUUUCGGAAUUGGACAAAGAUAGGGCUUUAAUAACGAAAAUACCCUGAGAUAAAUGAAUUGAAUUUAAACUUCUCUGGGGUACUACCUGGUGUACCCCAGAAUUGUCAAAUUCAAAAAUUUAACCUCAUCAUGAUUCCUUUCAAAAUUUUCACUGCAUAAAUAAUCAAUUAUUUCAAAUCAACCUUCCUGGUGAAAUUUCAUCAAAAUUUUAUCACAAUUUUCAGCAUCUACCUGUCAAAUGACAAAAAAAAGGGGAAAAAAUAUCAAAACCUCCUAACUUUAGCCAACUUACAGUGCACUAUUUUUUUUUUUUUUUGAGAAAAUAUAGCAUGCUACUUGCUUCAUUCAUAAAAAGGAUGAAUUAAGCAUCAAGGGUGAGGAAGUAAACCUCUGUCAAAUAGAGAAUGAAAAAAAAAUAAAAAAAUAGUACAGUAAGAAACACUAAAAUAUUAAGAAAUGUCGUUUGCGCGAAAGAGAUUCCUUCCACUAGGUCAUGAACCACUUAAUCUUAUCCAUUGCCAUCAGUGAAUCAGCAUUAGCCUUUCAAAAUAUGAUAAUGUUCCUUGCGUUUCAAAUGACCCACCAACAAGUCGACAGACCAGUCAGUCCCUCGACUGAACCCCCUUCCACUACCAUUGUGAUAAAAAAAUCUACUAACCAUGCAUUGCGUAAAUAAGUGGUUCACAGUCUCUAAUUCAACACAACAUAGAUCUUGAUUUUUAGAAUUGCUUGUCCUUAGCUAUACUAUAAAUUACCACUUGGAGUUUAAAAUUUUGAAUAUGUGAAAAGUAAAAAAUAUAUUUUAUUACGUGCUGUGCAGGUGUUGGCAUGAUUUAGCUAUUCGAAAAAAUAAAAUAAAAUUAAGCCAUGUGAUUUAUUAAUUAAAAAUGAAUCAGUUAUUUAGAUGAUAGGGCUAAUAAUUGGGCCAGAGGAGGCUCUUGGGCUAUUUUUGGGUUUUUUGGGCUUUUUCAGAAGAUCCCAAUAUCUCCGACCAAAUUGAUUAUAGCCCAAUUAUCUCCGACCACUCGGAACCUCGGAGGCCGGAGAACAAUGGCGGAGUUAGGGUUCCACCUCGGGUUUCGCCUCGCUCCCUCUCCUUCGAUCGCCACUUGUUCCUCGGCAACGACGUUCAUGGUAUACUCAUCGAUUCAUUUGGGGUUUUCUUUUCAAUCUCAUCAAAUUCCCCAUAGAUUGUUUCGUCUUCUCCUUAUUAUGAUCGUGAUUCGGUGCGGAUUUCGUUUAAUUCGAAGCUCCUUCUCUGAUUCAGAGCGGAAGGGGUCGAGAUAUGCGUCGGUCAAGCGAUCGAUCAAUGUAUGGAACCUUAACUGAUCCCCCUUUUUUUUUAAAGUUGUUUUUGAAAUUGUCUUAAAGUGAUAUGCGAUCGCUAAAUUGAGGUUAGUGAAUUCCAGUGGAAAAAUGAACUUGUUAUGCGAUUAUAUCUUGUGUUUGUGUUAAUCAAUUCGUUCUAUGAGCUUACUUUCGUAGUUUAGUUUAUGAGCAGAGCUAGUUUGAAUUGAUUCAGAUGGUACAGUGAGGGAGUAAAUAAAGCUUGAAGCUAAAAGCAAGCAUUAUAUUAUAUUUAGAUUUAGCAUUUGGAGCUGCUUCAGGCAAAAAAAAAUGAGGUAGGGUUGGUAACAUGUUGUAGGCAGAAGGAGCAAGAGAUUAGUGGAGAAAAGCAUGAAGAAGGGAGGAUUGUAAAGAAAUUAAAUCAAAUGUUGUUAGAGUUAGAGUAUAAGAAAUUCUGAAAUUCUAAAACAAUUAUCUUAUGUUGUCCCAUAUAUAGUUUUUACAGCUGUUUCAUGUGUUUCAAGUUCACCUUCAAAGUUAUUUUUCAUAUGGUUAAUGAUAGUGGGUGGAUAUGGAUAAUUAGAAAAAGAUCAAGUGAUAAAAUCAAGCUUAAGUUUAAAGUUUUAUUCUCUCCUAACACUCAAACUCAUUUUAUAUAUGUUCAAAAUUGCCCAAUUUUUACUUAUUCUAAAUUUAACAACCAACUUAAGACAAGGUAUGAUGCGGAAGAAUAUUGAAAGUAUUAAUCUCCAGCAAUGUGUCUGCAUCAAUUCCCUUUGGUUUUAAUAUGAUAUUCAUGCGCUAUAUAGAGUGCUCCUUUUUUAUGGGCUUUUGUAUUUGGAUAAAACUUUUCUGGUCGGAUGUUUAUGUGUCAGCAUAUAGCACUAUUUAAGACAUUAGCUUCCCUUGAUUCAUCGCAGAAUAUUAAAGAAGCCAACCAGAAAAGAGCACCAUUUAUGGAUGAAGAGAGAUUCAACUGGGUCUGGGCAAAAGGCCCUCAAUCUUGUAAAUACAGUAAGAUACUAAACAUUUUUUUUUUUAAAAAAAAAAAGCAAAACUGUGUUGUGAAUUAUAUAUCCUAUGUAAAUAUGUAUGUAUAUUGCCAUGCCUAACAGGUGUGCUAUACGAGCAACGGAAGAGGUAGGGUCUGAACUACUUCUAAACUUUUGGACCCUCUAAAACAUAAUAGUGGGUGCUUUUGGGCCAAUGCAUUUACAAGCUAGUCCUUAGUGCUCUGCCCAACAUAGACAAGAAUAGCAGGCAUUAUUGCUAUGUUAUCUUCCAAAAGCUUAUAGAAAGAAAGUUGCCUUUCUCCUGCUCUAUACAACAUGUGCCCUUGGUUUCAUUAUGUUUUGUUGCAGUUGGUUUUUAACAUCAUCAAUAAGUUUCUUAUGAAAAGGAACAAAAGAAAUCAACUUUUCUUUCUAAAACAGUUUUGAAAAUGUUUAUGCUAGGUUUCAAAACUUCCAAAUGACAAAGAAGUCAUCUAUGGAGCAUUGGAUAGGUGGACUGCUUGGGAGACUGAGUUUCCAGUUAUUGCUGCUGCAAAAGCUUUAGAAAUCUUGAGAAGACGAAGUCAAUGGUUGCGGAUCAUCCAGGUGUGAAAUUUUCUGUCCUAAGGUUAAUCAAUUGUUCUGUUUCAACAGCAUGAAUGACCAUCAAUAUUUAAGCCAUAAAGAGGUUUAAAAGCCUUUUAUCGAAGAUUACAAACAUGUUUAUUAGUAUGAGGCAUUGAAAAGAGCUGAAAGAAAAUCAACAUAUCUGUUAACGGAGAACAUACUGAUCUCUCUUUAUGCAUUGUGUCUAGUAACGAACAUACUGAUCUCUCUUUAUGCAUUGUGUCUAGGUUACUAAGUGGUUGUUGAACAAAGGCCAAGUACUCACAUUGGGAACAUAUGAUACACUGCUACUAGCCUUCAAUAUGGAAGGGAGGAUAGAUGAGGCUGAGUCUAUUUGGAACGUAGUUAUACAAACUCAUACACGUUCGGUUUCAAAAAGGUUGUUCUCUCGCAUGAUCUCCAUGUAUGAUCAUCAUCAUCUACCAGAAAAAAUAUUGGAGGUAAUUAUCUCGUACAAUGAAGAGAAUAGCUAAACAGCUAUCCAAGUUAAUUAUAUAAUCAUACUUCCUAAUCAGCAUUGGCCUUGUUUGGCAAAUUUUAGAUAUCAAUGUGAAUCAAUGUAGUGCCAGGUGAGCGGAGUGAACUUGGAUAGAUUACUUAGCUGUGCAUCAUAACCCAUUCACAAAAUCUUAACAGCCCCUAUGAAAUUUAGUUGUCUCGCCGUUCUUUAUCAGGUGAACUUUUUAACUCAGGAUAAUCUGUAAAAUUUACAUUUGUGAACUUUAGCGGCAAAUUUCAGGUAUUUGCGGACAUGGAGGAGCUCGGCGUGAACCCCGAUGAGGACACCGCGAGGAGGAUCGGGAGAGCUUUUGCGAAGCUAGGGCAGGUCGACAAGCAGAAGCUGGUGCUAGAGAAGUAUUUAAGCAAAUGGAAGUACAUCCAUUUUAAUGGGGAACGCGUUCGCGUGCAGAGAACACACCAUUUGGUUGAGUAGUCCUUUUCGAUCAAUGCAGUGGAUCCUCAAAUUCAAGAACGGGGAAGAUCUUCUGGAUUUCACUGGUUUUUCCCAUCAGUUUUCACGUCGAUCCGAGGACCUCUAAAUUUGUGAGAGGUUCCAAUUUUGAUCAACGGGUUCGCAUUGGGAAGGAAAUUCCUGCUCUCAGGUAGUAUAUCUUUUUUCUUGCAGAGCUUUUCCUUUUCAUCAAAUGAUAGUUAAAUUACAUAAUUAUUUUUACAUGAUGAUAAUUUAUAAGAAAAGAGAAUAUAUGUGCAAUAAUGGAGCAACGAACAGAAGCGCUAUACUAUUCUAUUAGAACAAGAAAGUUGUGGGAGGAAAUGACGGCGCCAUUGGUGGGAUUGGGACUCCAUAAUGCCUGAAAAACCAAUAAAUAAAUAAAUAAACAGGAUCAAAUUUCUUGUGGAAAGAGGGCUAAUAUAGGAGGAAUUAAUUACUCUGGAUAAGCAAUAGAAAUAGAAUAUCCAAAGGGAUGGUGUUGUAGAUGAUUCGUUCCCCAAAAAUAGAAUAUCCAAAGAGAUUGUUUGGUUUGGUCAAGCACGAAACAACUUCAUUAAAAAUUAGGAACUUACUGGCCGGCAAAGUUAUCUGUUAAGCAGCUGUUCGCAUUGGAGAGUUAUCCAAAUAUACAAACAAUCCUUUUGGAUUAUUUAUUUAUUUUUUUUAAUAUGCCUCCAUAUAAUAAAGUACUGAGGAAGGAUAAAAGGUUUUUAAGCUAUAGAACUCGUAAAGUUUUUUUUUUAUCUAUAGAAAAUACUAAAAGAUCAAAACAAGGAUGGAAAAUUAUUCAUAUUCUUUUAAAAAAAAAAGAAAUUGUUUGAAAGGCUGGUUCAACAUCAUCAGUUAUGGUGAGAGCACUCGUUAGCCCCGCUAAAUGUGGUCGUGUAAGAGAAAUUGCAUGAUCAAUAGUUACAAAAUUUUUAUAAAUAAAUUAAAAUUUGAAGACUAAGGUGCUAAGGGGACAUAUGUCACCGAAAAUAGUCGCCAUCGGUGUGACUCGUCGCCGAUCUAAUCCUCCUCUUCUCCACCCCGCCCCUCCUCUUCUUCGCCGCCUCCUGCACACGAUGCUGCGGCGGUAGGACGGAUCUCUCGGAGAUUGCAGCAAGCGAUGACUUCCAAUUAUGUGUCGUUGCCGACGCUGUGCGCAGCGCUCUCUUCCUCACCAUUUCCAGCGCCACUGCCUCCGCCGCGCGUGCCGUGCUCUUAGCCUGGCCCGGCCACACGGCGCUCCACCAGCAGGGCAUGAUGGGAAUUCCCCAAUAUUUAUGAAUUGGCCACUAGGAAGCAAUACCCGAAUGCCUCUCCGAUUGCUUGUUUAUAUUGCCCCCAAACGCUCUAGCAUCACCAUUGAAGCCCUCGAUCACAGUGGAAUCACAGGAUUUACUACUUAAAGAUCACCGUUGAUUGAAAAUCAUACGGUGCGUGUUCCCUCAGAAUUAGUGAAGAGUACACAACGACGAGAUAGGGGUUGACUAUUAGGGGCAAUGGGUGGCCAAGUUGAAUGUUUUGAUAGUCCUACGUUGAUCGAAAAUCAUACGGUGCGUGUUCCCUCAGAAUUAGUUAAGAGUACACAACGACGAGAUAGGGGUUGACUAUUUGGAACAAUGGGUGGCCAAGUUGAAUGGUUUCCUAUUGGGUGGGCGGUUUCGAUUUUGAUAGUUUUGGCCCAGGAAAUUAAAUUUUUAGCUAAAAAGAUAUAAACAUCUAAUCCAAAUUUAUAUUAAUUUUUAGUAAUUAAAUUUGUAAAUUAUUUCUGGUAAAAUUUAAAUUAUAUGCUUAGCGACUCGGAGGAGUCCGAAGGGGAUCACAAGAAAUUGAAAUUAUGGAAUCUUUUCGGAUCAAAUUGCACCCAAAAACAAAAAAAAAAAAAAACAAUUCUGAUAAUAUGGAAUCUGGUCGAAUUAAAUUCACUGCACGAAAAUGGGAUUAAAAACUCCAAUUGUACAGGAAAAAAAAAUGAAGAAAAAAAAGAGAAAAAAGUACAAUUCUGAUAAUUUAUGUGGGUUUGCACGUCAAAAUUCUGGGAACAAUAUUUUUCCACUUCAUACACUUCGCAAAUUGAAAACACUAAACACGGCCUUCGGCGUCGCCGUAAAUCAUUUUGAAAACUUAUCUCCCAGAAGAACUAAAACAUCAGUUUUAGUAACUAAACAGUAUAUAAUGACUCGCAACUAACAGAAUCCAAACAGUAACACAUUGAACCAUGAUAAAUCACAUGAGAGAGAUAAGUUCUUAAACAAAAAUACCUUCGCAGAGUUCAUAAAUUAUACUGAUAUUGUUCCAGCCGAAAAGUAAGAGAAUUUAAUGCUCUCCCAUGCCAAAAAAAAAAAAAAAAAAAAAAAAAGGGUACCGCAACUUCUUAAGCAUUUAAUAGUGAUCAAUUUCAUUAGGUUUGUAUUCAAAAUUUGACCAUCAAGAGAUUUCAACCUUCUACAUAAUAGCUAGUUCUCUCCAUAAGAAAUGUAUCACACAUAAAUCUUAGGUCAAGUAAUUUAGAUAAUGAAUACCAAACACUUAACACUAUGACUCCAUAAGGCUUUACUGAUAAGCAGAUACAGAAGCCCCUGUUGCUUGGGGAGGCUGAGGAGCUUCUCGAGGUCUCGCAUACUCGGCAAAUAUAACCCAACCAUCAAGAAACUGCACAAAAACAAAGAACGUGAAAACAAAAAAGCACGCAAAAUUCACGCAAUUUGUUUUCUGUUCCUUGAUUAUAACCUCCUAAAUCUAAAACACACAUUUUUGUUCUUUCUCAUGAUGAAAAGAGCAAUUCCUAAGUACAUAACCAAUCGGCUAUGGCUUAAAACUAGCUUUCAAUAGUUUUAUUGCUUGAUUCUACAAUUAUCACCGUGUUCAAGCAGCAUGUUGAGACCUAUGGCUAGGAUGCUGUAUAGAUUUGUUAAAAAUGCUGUGAACAAAGGACUUGAUUGCUUAAUCUUACCGAUUCUUUUACAUCAUAGGCGUUGCACGAGCCAUAUGAUACUCACAUGCUUAAUUUCUACAUAUACAUUAUAUAUGAGGUGGUGCAAAAUUCAAGCAAAAUGUUUCCGAUAAUUAUAGAGGAUCUGAGAUUAUUACAAAAACAUGAUGAAUAAUACUCACCUUCCCAUCCAUGCCCUUAAUGCCUGCUUCCGCCUCUUCAAUUGAGGCAUAUCUCACAAAACCGAACCCCCUAGAAUAACCUGACACUCUGUCGGUGAUCACUCUCGCUGCAAAAGGACACAACUUGGUCGUAAUGAUAAUCAACGAAUUCAAAGAAGAGAGGCUCCAAAGGAAAGUUAAUACCAUCGACAAUUUGACCGAAUUUUGCAAAGGUUUCUCUAAGCGUCUCCGAUGUCGUACGCUUGUUGAGCCCUGCGUAUUGAUUAUCGUUAAUAUUGAAUGGAGUAAAAUCUACUAAAGCAAAGAUAAGGGUUUUUCAGUGGCUUGUAAAAUGACAAGUGAAAAGUGGAAUAAUUUGCUUUCACAAUAUAACAUAAAAUAUGAGAGAGUGUGUUCUACAACCCUCAAAAGGUCUAACAUAUUAAAAAUUAUAAUUUUGAUAACCUUUUUUUUUUCUCUCUCUGGUAAACAACAAUAGAUCAGUGACACAAUUGAUUUUUGCGCAGGUAAUUGUAGUUUUUUUUUUUUUCUUUUUUUAACAAGCCAUUUAGAGAUUACAGAUCACGUCUAAUUCUUUUCACAUCUAUAUUUUAAGCCUCCUCAGGAAAAUAAUUUUCUUCUCUUAGGGGAGUAAAAAAGAUCAAAUUUGUGCGAUAAAAUCUAGAGAGUGAACGAAAAAGAAAAACCCAAUUAAUGAGAUCAAAAGAUGUUCAAACUCGCAUCAAAAUUACAAUUUUUUUUUCUCUUUUAUGCAUGAACACACAUAAGGGGUCAAUCCGUAGGCUUCAAAAUCGCAGCAAAAUUACAUCUUUUCUUCUUUUACGCACUCAAAAACAGAGGCGAUCGAAACUUAAGUACGUAGAAAAAGCAACAAAUCCACUGAGAAAAAAAGGGCGAUAAGCCUAAAACAAAAUGGGCGAGGAAUUGAUUAUACCCGAGACGAAGAGAUUCGUUGAGGGUUCUACCGCCGGACGAGCGGCGGCGGGGGGCGGCGGCGCGAACGCCGAGAUGGAGAAGAGUCGCCGGAACCCUAAUCUCGCCGCCGCCGCCGCCAUUGUUCUCGAACUUUCGCAGGAGUUCUCGUUGUUGAAUGGGGGGCGAGGGUUUUAUUAUGGCGAGGGUUGUGAAACUUUUACACAAAAGACCAUGUAGAUUACGAUAAUUACAGCUGUGUCUCCGGAUCUUUUUAAAAUAUUGCUAUUAAAAUUCUCUUUUUUUAAUAAAAAUACAAAUAAAUUGAUCCGACAUUAGUAAAUACAUUAAUUAAAUCUGAUCAUUAGUUACUAACUAAAUUUAAAUUAUAUUUAAUAAAUUCUAUACGUCUCAAAAAAAAAUUUAAUAUGUUAAAUUACAUGAAACACAAAGUAAAAAGUUAUUAUUUGCACCAAUAAGACCAAAUAAAGGGAAAGAAAAAACAGCUGAAAAUUAAUCUAGAAAAAAAAAAACUUAAACAAUUUUUGUUUAUACCUAAUCUAUUUAAACCUUAAAAAAACUUAUAUAUUCUACAUAAAAAAAUUCUUAUUCUACACCAAAAUAUUUCAAGAGCUAAAAUGCCUCUGAGUUCUUCAUAAUUUUUUAGUUCCGGUCGAAACACGCAGAGUUCUCCAUAAUCUUUUAAUCCUUCCAUAAUCGAUCGAAACACGUAGAAAGGAACGGAAAAACGAAAAAAUUUUAGAUAUCAAUCGUUCGGUGUACUCCAUAAGUUUCAGAAACCAAUUUCUUGUAGAUCGCAAAAGUUCUUCGGUUUUCUUCAUUAAGCUUUCUUCGUUCUCCUCAGCUUCGUGGUCGGGUUCGGGUUCGUUCUCAAUCUCAAUAAUUGUAUUUGAAUCGAAUGAUGCACCAGUAUCCUGCAUGUAAAGCCAAUAUCGCGAAAAUUAAACUUAAUUGUUAGAGAAAUGCGAUCAUAAACAGCUAUGCAAAUAAAACGAAAACAAUUGCAAAACCUGAUCAGUGCAUGAUGAAAUAGUAGAGCUAACAAUUUGUGUAUUUUCCGAUGAAGAAGCUUCCAAAUCUUCAGGAACAUCGAUGGUUACACUAUUGCUCGUAGUUGGAACGUCGUAUGACCUGAAAAUUAAUCGUUGAAUCUUAGUGCAUAUAUCGAUAAAAUACUUACACAAUAAACUUGCAAAACUUUUCAUUUACAUUUGUAUGUAAAUAGUCACGAAAUCACCUUUUGGCGCCUCCUUCAACUUCUGUCGUGGCGCCUCCUUCCACUUCUGUCGUGGUCUGUUCUUUCUCAACGAGCGGAGAAUGCCUGAUAGGGAUAAAGAAAUGCCUCAACACAGAUGAAAACUUCGUACUUGAUUGCACCUCUGUGUCUUUUUCUUUAUUACAAUCUUCUUCGAUGAACUCCCAAUCUUCUAAACCGCGCUCUAACAACAUAUGUCUAAAGGCGACGUCUCCUUCCAUCUUUCCGACUCAAAACACUUCAAGUUCUAAAACCACUUGAGUUACUAAGUUUGAAAAAGUAAUCUAAAAUCAAAUUUGUCCAAAUUAAAUUAUUUUUUCAACAUUACAAAAUAAUGUGAGCGUGCCGGAGUGGUUAUCGGGCAUGACUAGAAAUCAUGUGGGCUCUGCCCGCGCAGGUUCGAAUCCUGCCGCUCACGAAGGUUUUUUUUAAAAUUUUUUAUUUUGAAAUUUAAAAUAAAUUAUUUAAGGCAAAAACUUAAUACUUUAUAAAAAAAAAAACUAUAAUACAUACAUAAAACAAUUUAAGCUCAAAAGGUAUAAGUGCAAAAUAAAUUAAAUUUUGCCUAAUUGAUUAUAUACAAGUGAUAUUUUAGACAAUAAUAUUUUAUCAAAGAUGCAAAAAAAUAAAAAUACUGCAGCUUAAAUAUGUUGGAGAAAAUUCAAAAUCUCUAAAUUUCAUAUUUUAAAAUAUUAAUUUAUUUAUUUUUAUUAUUAUUAUUUUUUAAGCGAACGUCCGCACGCACUGUGCACGCGCGGACGUUACGCAUGCUCGCGCUAUUUGUCCGCAUGGAAUCCAUGCGGACAUUCAUGUGGGUGCUAAUUAAAAGGGCUAAUUAAGAAAAUGUUAACGUUGGGAAUACCAACGUUAAGUUUUCUCAUUCCCCUGUAUAUAUAUUUAUAUACACUUGUUCUACUGUUCAUAGAUAUAUGAACACCGUGGAAAAACAACAAGUGAAAAGAGGGUUUUAAUUUAAGUUUUUUUAUCAAUUGUUUAUUUACUUGAUUUCUUUAUCAUCGGGUGUUGAAAGAGUCUCCGUCAACCUCCUUCACGAUCGUGCUCGCAGGAGGAGGAAUUCCGGUCGUACCUUGGGGUGUUAUUUCCGGUUAAUCCCGCACGUAAGGACGGAAAUACGCCUUAGGNAUAAAAAGAUGUGCGAUUAGGAUAAUAGCAAUUUUUUAGAAUUAAGUAGAUGAUUGGUUGAAUAAUAUAAUUUAACAGAUAAAAAUUAUCUAAAAAUAAAUUUAACGAUAAAAAAAUUAAUAAUAUAACGAGAUUAGUACUACCAAUUGUAUAAUAGUCAGACUCAUCUAGAAUUAUAUAUAUAUAUAUAGUUAUUAAAACAUAGAUCUUAUUUAAUUUACAAGCUAAAUCCACUAUAGGAUGUUGACUCAAAAAAUAACUAAAUAAAAUUUUAAAUUAAUGGACAUAUAUCUUGGAAAUUAAAAUUUUGCAUGCUCUUUAUUCUGAGAUAAAACCAAUAUAUGAAUAAUAAAAAGAUAAAAAUAUGAUAGCGUAACACUAUAGUCUAUGUUUUUCUGGGUCGAGGACAGAGUAACAAUAUCGCGAUAGGUUAAGGACUAUCGCAUAAUUGUUUCAUGCUUUAGAAACGGGGGAGCUUCGCAAUAAGAAAGAGUAGUUGAGGGGUCUCAAUGCAUAUUUUCCACAGAAACAAACUCUCUCUCUCUAAUCGCCGAGCGAGACCCCUCGCCCCCCAUGGCGGCUUCGCGCGGCGGAGCCCUACGAGCGCCGCUCGGCGGAGGUGGCGGAGGCAGCUGUGCCGGCGCCGGAGGAGGAGGAGGAGGGAGGUGGGGGGGGAUGAGCCGAGACCUCCUCGAGGCGAUCCUCGCGAGGGUCGGGGCGCCGGAUCUCGUCGCCGCGGUCCCCUUCGUGUGCUCCUCGUGGCGUGAAGCUUCUAGAGACCCCCUCUUCUGGCGCCGCCUCGACCUCGGCGACUGGGACGCCGUCUCCCGCCGCCUCCGCCGCGGCGGCGGAGGCGGAGGCACCGCCGCCGCCGAGUUCGCCGGUAUCCUCCGCGUCGCCGUCGCACGCGGCCGCGGACGAACGGAGUCGAUCUCCUUCCCCUCCUUCGCUGAUGAGGCCCAUCUCCUCUUUGUCGCUGAGAGGUGAUUUGUGUUUGCCCUAAAAAAACAUAGACUUUUAGGGUUUCUUUUAGCGCACACACAUUACGAUCGAAUGCUCUUUCGUUUCUCUUUUUUUCCUAUACUCGUAAGAGCAGUUUUUUUUUUUAAAAAAAAUCUUUUAUUAAGAUAAAUGCUUGACCUGUUAUCUAUCAGUCUAUGAAGCCCCAUUUUUUAUGGUAAACACUAAUUGAAGUAUGAGUUUUUCAAGUUUCAAACUUUGCUGGAUUAUGUAGGCAUUUGCCCCUUAAAUAUUAUGUUUAGUAUAAUUCUAUCUUAUUUAACUCUCAGGUGCUCAAAUCUACUUUACUUUAGCCUCCCAAAUCCCCGAAUAGCAUCGGAUAGAUUCUGCGAGGCCGUCGCCAAAUUGAAGCUUCUUAAAGGCAUGGCAGUUGAUGAGAGCCUCAUAACCAAUGAAGUUCUUCUACAUAUAAAAAAUUGCUGCAAAAAUUUUUCUGAACUAAGAGUAUGUGCUGAGAGUGUGAAUAGAGAGAUUGCUUCUGUUAUCUGCAAGUCUCUUCCAAAUCUGAAAAAGCUCGAGAUAACCAAUUCGGUCAUAUCGAAGCAGGCCAUUAUUACUCUCCUUGAUGGGUUGGAGCAGCUCGAGCACUUUGACAUUUCAGGGUACAGGAAUUCUACGAUUACCGAUCUUGUCCUUCAGAAGGCUUCGCGGCUAAAAGUGUUCUUGUGGGACUCGAAGUUGGAGCUCGGUGAGUUAAUGGACUGCUCACAUUGUGAGGACGGCCUGGUUCUUCAGAGGCCUUGCGAGUGCGUGCUGAAUCAGAGGGUGAUGGAAUGGUUGGCCGAGGUUUCGUAAGAUCUUCUCUCUGUUUCUUGGUUGUUCGGGAGUAAAAGGAUGAGGUAAAUCCUUAAAUCACUUCAUGUUUAAACAAUGAAGUUGUGUUCCCUCUUGAGAUAUUUGGUAUAUUAUUGUGCAUAUUUGAAAUGAAGUUGGUUUUCUUGUCACCAAAGUGUUGUCUGUCGUUUGUACUCUUAUUCACUAUCAUUUUAAUAAACAUUCAAGUGUUUAACCAAAAAAAGAGAGAAAAUUUUAGGCAUUUGAGAUGCUAACAAUAAAAUCGAUCUAUUGGUUUGUUAGAGAUGGUUGUUUUGUAUUGCUUGUUGUGUGGUUUAGCAUGAUGCAUAUAUUAGUAAAGGAGUGAAUAAAGGAACAAAUAUGUAGUAGCUUGUGGGAGAACCAUAAAAGAUUACUCUUCUUACUUUUUUAAACUUUACAUUACUCGGAGAACUGCGAAGAAAUAUGGAGUUGUUUAUUCAUCAAUUAAUUAUACAGAACAACAACUUUCAUAAUUGUCUGAACUUCUGAUUACUUUCUUAUUUGGAAUUUAACAAUUAGACACAUGCUUUAUUUCGGAACUUCUAUGUCUGUUUAUAUUUUUUCGAUCAUGACUAUCGGAUUAUGUUUAGCUGAUCCAAAUUAGUUGAAAAAGAUUUACCAUAUAUGUUCAAGUCGAGGUCAUUCAUCUGUUACAGUUUGAUUACGAGGAGAUUAAAUGACUAUUGGAGCGUGAAGAUUGACUUUUUGAGAAUAAUCGUCGGAGAAUUCUUGCAAGUGGAAUUGAAACCACGCGUUUUCCCUGCCUAAGUAAUUGACUUGGUUUAUGAUGACCAAUUUAGAGUUAACUUCUUGUUUAAUAAUAUCAUUAUGGAUGAGAAAGAAGAACUUGUUGCCUAGUAACACGAUUUAUGAUUUGUUGUAUGAAGUUGUCCAUUGAACCAUUAGCAUUUUUUUCACUUAAAAGAGUCCUUCUACUUGUUUUCCUAUUGUAGAAGAGCAAAAGCUUAUUUUGACUCUUGGUUGCAGUAAAAAUCUUAAACUUUCUGUUUGUCAUAUGUCUGAGAUUAUUACUUUUCGAAAUAGAAAACUAUUUCAAAACCAUGCAAAGUAGCCAACCAUACAAAUCCUAUUAGAAUUAUUUGAGACAAACUUGGAUUGAGGCACAAAUUUGCAAUCAAUAUCACACUUGUAAUAUUAUGUUCUACAGCAUACGAAAUCAUACUCAGAUUACAAACCAAGCAACAUAUUUUUCACAAUAUAUAGCAAACCUAAAUUAAAGCAUAUAACCCACAAAAGCAUCACACACUUAUAUCUCUUUCUCUCUCUUCUUUAUUUUGUCCCAUAGAGAUACCUUAUAACUUCAUCAAGCAGCCAUAGUGAUCAUAUUUCUUUGCAUUCAUCUUCAUUCUGCUGCUGCUGAUCUGCACAGUAGUUCCCCAUGCAAUUUACUUUACCUCUGUGAACCAAAAUGUUGUUGCAUCCCCACACAUCAACACUGUAACAGCGAUGGACCCGAAGAGCGCCACACCUUAAGAUCCGAGCCGUGUCGCAACGUUUGAUGCAAACAUCGCCGCAGAAAUCGACACUGACGAAGUUGCACCGUUUGAUCAGUAAGUUCCUGCCGCCCUCCACGCGAGCAACUCUGCACCGUUCGAGUAGAACAUCGCCGCCGCCUGUAACAUAGACGUCGUUGCAUCGCUUGACGACGAUGCUGCUGCUUUGUACUAUCUGCGCGUUGCUGCACCGAUGCACUGAGAUUUUCUGACCGCCUUCGGCAUAAAUAUUGUUGCAGCGAUCGAAGGAGAUGUUGUAGCCCUGGGCUUUGAUCUGAAUGUUGUUGAAGCGAUCGACGCGAACUUCACCGGGCCGGACGACUUUGACGGUGCCUUGUUUGUACGUGAAGGUGCUCUUUUCGACGAGAAAUUCUACGCCGUCGACGACCACGGUGAGCUUUUCUGUGUACUCUUCAACUGCCACCAUUGUGAUGAGCUAAACAGGAGAUAUAGGGAGAUGGAUGAAGCUGGGUUGUGUGAGGUUUCUCUAGAGCUUGUUAUAGGAUUGCAUUUAAAGACUUUUCUUUACACAAGUAGAGAAGUAAGCGGUAGCAUGCUUCUUGUAGAAGUAAUCAGAUGAGAAUUCAAUUAGAUGCUAUGUUAGUUUGGUUGUCAAAUUAAUAGCAUGAUGUUGACUCACAAAAUAAAUAUAUAAAUGAACUAUUUUUAGAAUAAAAAAACAGUUCUGGUGUGUUCCACCUUGGUGAAUUUAGAAAUUACUUCAGCAACGCAGAGUUAGUAACAGCAACAAUUUUUUAAAAAUAUUGUAGAAGAGUGAUUUUCAUAAUUACUUUCGGAAAAUUAAAUUCAACAACAUCAAUAGAAGGGAAAACUUCAAAAAUUUUGUUUUGAGAACAUACGAAGAUGUUGCUAUCAGUGAUUGAUAAAAAUGUCGUUAUUGAUAAAAAUGUCGAUGAUGAGUCGCAUUGUUUCCAUUUUUUAACUUUCUUAAAAAAAAAAAAAUCCUCUAACCUAAUGAUCUUAUCUCACUCUAUUACGAUCAUGCUCAAAUCUUCAGAAAAUUGAAUUCCAAUAACCAAGCCCUUUUACAAUUUUGACUUCAAUGCCUUGCCAUUUUAUUAGGUAUUGAAAAUUCAAAAUUUUAAAAUUCAAGCACCUACUUAAAAAUUUAUAGAUGGCCGAUCGAUCGCGUAGUUACGGUACAAUUUUUAUCAUACAUAAAUGGCCACCUGUCACCAAGGGAACAUUGAAUGCCAAAUAAAUAUCUCCCCCAGCACCAACCAACCCCAUGUUCAAAAUGUAGGGUGGCGUGCAGUGUGUGCUCUCCAAGCUGGCAUAGAGCCAAAGCUUCAUUGGAUUUUAAUAACAAUAUAUAGUUAUAAUAUAAUAAUAAUAAUAAUAAUUAUAAUAAUAAUAAUACACUUCAACACAAAAUGCUACAUACAUAUGAAGAGUACGCGCUAUAUAGACGAGGACAAAUGGAGAGGACAAAGGGAAAGAGGUAUCCAAACUACUCUAAAUAGACACUUAAACUCUCUCACAAACUCAUUUACAGCAAAUCACAUCACUCCAUAAUAUUCAGCCAAAGGAAGGAAAAGACUGAGGGAAAACUGCUAUGGAGCUUUUUUUUUCUUUUUUUCUUUUUUUUUUUGUUUUUUUUUGGCUUCCAUUAUGGCUCACUUGUCCUCUUACCUCUGCUCCUGGAAAAGUUGGUCUCUUCUUCCAACAAGCCCUGCAGUAACAAAUUCAUGCCUUGGUAUGUCAGUGUCAGAUCAUAUAACAAAAUUUGGAUCAGUUUGUAGUUCAAUGAAUUCAAAGUGAAUGGGAUUAUAGGUUAAAAGAAUCUGUUGUUGUUUUGAAUGGGCCAUUCUCUGAUUUGCUUGUAGAUGUUUAUAGAUUCCAUCACAAUCAGGAAACUAUAUUUUUUUCACAAACUAAUUUUUAUUAUUUCUGAGAAUUGUAUCAUCUUAAUUCAUCAGAAUUGCUUAAAGCUACACAAGUCUAUCAACAAAAAUCAUUACACAAAACAGGAAUUAAGAGGGGGAAGGGGAUUAACUAUAUCUCUAAUACAGAGUCUAAGGGGAGGUUAAUUAUCUGUAGUGUAAAGUGCAUGCAAUUAAUGUGGGAAAAAAAAGGGAAAAACAACUUGAAAGGGGCAAGUUGAUGACAUAAAUAGACAUCUCAACAGUAUGAGAUUAAAGCAGAAAAAAAAGAUGGUGUACAUUAAAACCAGUUUCUAGAUUAAAUAGCAGCAAAGAGAAGGAGAAAUGAAGCCCUUUUUACCCCCCAUAUUUGAUGGUUAAUAAAUUGAAGCUAACUAUAAUUGAACCGACAAUAAGUAUAAGAUGGAAAAUGGAAUAUUUGCAUAUGGAAAUUUCAUUUCUGAAACAAGAAGCAAGUAAUCAAUCAAUAGAAACAUUGACAACUUUGAUUGGAAAAAUGAUUUUUCAUUACUUUACAAUACCAAUAACAAAGAGAUGGGUGCUUCAAAAUGAUCUCUGUACCAGAAAUUCAAGCCCAAUUGAGAUCAAAUAAAGGUAGAUCAUAAAUUAAAAAGCAGGAAGAUGUUAAAAAUACAAAAUUUAUACAAAACCCACAAUUAAAAAAGCCCUAGAAGACACAAGUAAACCCCCACGAAAAAGCGAACAUGAAAAAACAGUUCCAAAAAGCCCAAAAUUAAAAAGCCCCAAUUUUCAAACAAAUUAAACCGAAAAUAAAGAGAUCCCCAAAUCACCAAAUUCAAAUCCAAAUAGGUUAGAAAACCGAAACAGAUCGCAAUAAAUUUUCACUUUUCGCAUUAAAUACCCAAUUUUGCUGCAACCGAAACCGAAACAGAAGAGGGAUCGAAACCCAUGAAAUUGUAACAACCCGUCGUCAUCGUAAUCAUCAACAUCAUCACUAUGAUCAAUAAAAAUCGCACCUUUCCGAAUCGCCACCUCACCAUCUCCGGCGAUCUCCGCCGCGGCGGAGUUGGGCUGGCACUCGGGAGGGUCCUCGAAGACGGAUCGGGAGAGGCGCUUAUGGGCGAGGCCGAUGUCGAAGAGGAUGACCCCGGAGGAGGGGUCGGAGACGAGGAUCCCCUUCACGGGGAGCCACACGAAGAGCUCCUCCUGGGACAGCCCCUCGACGCCGCGGAGCGCGCCGAAGCUGAGGUUGCCGCGCACGGCGCGGUCGAAGUAGGCGAGGUCGACGCCGUCGUACUUGGCGUAGCAGGGCUGCGAGAGCUCCACGUCGAGGAGCCCCGUAUCGGCGUCGAGGGAGAAGGACGCGACCCCCUUGGGUAGUAGCCCCCCCGGGAGCCCAUGCGCGCGAAGCACGUCGUGGAUCGACGCCUCCGAGUCGGAGUCCGAGGAGGAAACCGUUCCUAGGGUUAGGGUUUCGACGAGGACCAGGACGACGAGGAAGAGGAAAGGUGAGACCUUUCCCAUUUGGAAAAUGGAGAAAGAGAGAGAGAGCGAGAGGGGAAAGGGGAGGGGAGAGGUGAAGGGUUAAGAAAAGGGUGUGUGUGUGUGAGAGAGAGAGAGAGAGAGAGAGAGAGAGUAUAGAGUUAAUAAAGGAAAAUGGGGUGGAAAAUUAAUAAAUAAAUAAUUUAAAUAAAUAAAUAUUAAUAUAAAUAUUGAUAUAAAUAAAUAUAAAUAAAAUAUGAGUGAAAAAGUGAGCAUGUGAGGUGGAGCCCCCAAAAUGAGUAGAAUAAAUGAACGAAUAAGAAGAAGUGGGGGUGAAUUUGAAUUUGACAGGGUGUGUGUGUGAUGGUGGUGGGCUCAGCCAUACCAUACAUAUUAGGGCAUAGCUGAGGUUGGUAUCAGCACAAUUUGUUAAAUAACCAAUAUUGUACCUUACACUCUAGUAAAUUAUAAGUUAGAUUUUUCAAAAAAAAAAGAGAGGCUUUUUCUUUUUUAAAAAAAAGUUUUGUUGAAAUUUUUUGGACUGAUUAACACCUUAAAAAUGUCCCACAAUUAUAUAUUAAGUAUGCUAUCUCUACAUUUCUAAACUAAUAAGUGUAUAUUUUACAUCUCACGCAUUUAAAAUUUUUUUAUUCUCUACUUGUCUUAUUAUUUCUUUUAUUUUACUGAAAUUUUAGGAUGUGUGAGAUAUGUGAGAUUUAUGUUUAUAUAUAGAGGAGUCCAUAUCACAUUCUUCUUAUAAAUUUAAAAUUUAUGUUACAGAUAGCACUGUUAUUUUUUUUUAAAAAGUAAACUAUGCUAUUUGUUUCGUUUAUUUUUUAAAAAAAUAAAAUUAGUUGAAAAAUAUAAAACAGUUAAAUUUCAAACUUUAAAAUUUUGAAUAUCAAUAAUUAAGUUUUUUUUGUCAUUUGUAUCAGAAACAGUGAACAGUUGUGAAUUUAUCCUAGGAAAGAGAAAAAGAAGAACAAAAAUGAAAUAAACAUUUUAUGUUCUAUUUGGGGUGAUGUGGGGGACUUUCACGGGCAGGGGAGGAAUCAUGUCAGCCAAGCAGAGUGGCAGUAGCUGAGUGAGGGAUGCACAAAAUCAAGGGAAAAAAAAAAAAAAAAAACUUAAAAUAAAAGUAAAAAUAAAAUUAAAAUUAAAAACUUCUUUUUUAUUUUUUAUUUUUUUUUCUUGUUUUCACAUUGACACCAAGCCAAGAGCCAGCUGAAUACUCUGGAGUGUUCUGUACUCUUGUUCUCUCUCUUUCUCUCUCUUUCUCUCUCUCUACAUUCUCUCUCUAAUCAGUGGGAGACAAGCCUCUCAAUCUAUGGGCUGUAUAAUAAAAUCUGGAAUAAUAAUAUUUAGGGUUGUGAUACACUGAUACUGGGAGAUCAAGUAGAUUGAUCAGAUUUAUCGAAUAUAAUAAUUAAUUCUUUAGUUAAUAAAUGGUGAUCUGAUUCGGUAAAAAUGUAGGAUAAUGAUAUUAAGAAAUAAACUGGAUAGAUAGAUCUGAUUUACUAAAUUUGGUCAAAUUUGAUUUGUAAAUUUGUGAUCAGAUUUGUCAACAAUAAUAUAAUUAACUCUGGUGAUAUCAAUAUCUAGUUAACCCUCUAAUAAAUGUACAGGUAGUUUGUUUUUUUGUAGUAAUAUGGCAUUGCAGUUUAGUUCUUGUGCUUUUCAUUAAAUCUUAUUCACGAAAAUUCCAAAUAUAUUACAGUUACUGUUAUUUCUAAUCGUUCGAAAUAUUCUUAUUCUUUUUCAUAAAGAGAUUUGACAUUUUGUCUUUGAAUGUAAAAUACAUGUGAAAUUUUAGUUUUCAUAGAAAAUUCAUUUAAUAAAUAUAACCUAAUAUUGGGUGAAAGUAUAGUUAAAUUGACUUAAGUUUAUAUAUUUGCAUUCCUAUAUUCUCUUAAACUUCAGGGAAAUGAAAGUAAUGGUAAAUGAAAAGGAAAAAAUCAAGAAUAACAAUACUUAUAAAGUCCAUUUUUCAUUGUCAAAUUUCCCCCUUUUUUUUUUUGUUGAAAAUACUUGUGUACCACUCAAAACUUUUUUCCUAAGAAAAAUGUGCAAGUUUAAACUUGGUACUUGUAGUAUAGUGCUAAUAUCAAUGAGGAAUAAAUUGUCCAGGGCCAAGCGGCUAAGGAAAGCAUCCAAAAACUAAACAAAGACAUGUUGUUACAUAGUUAACAUAGAGAUAAGUGUGAGUAGUUGUUGUUUGAUUGAGAAAGCAAUAGCACUUUGGGCAAUAGAAACCUAGAGAGAAAGCCAACCUAUCAUAGACAAGGAGAAUAGCUAUCAAAAUACCCACCUCAUUUUUUUUUUUUUUUUUUUUUUGAAAAAAAAAAUUGUGGUUCAGGGCUCCAAGCACUAAAAAAGAAGGGGGAUUCUAUUUUGUGUAACAUCUCAUGUGGGAACAAACCCUUCUUCUCCCUAAUGAUACACUUUAGACAUCAAUCAUUGAAUCCUUAUAUUGUUAUUUAAUCCCUCCACAUCCUAUUUAUUCUUUACUUGAAUGGCUUAGCUUGUCAUAAUUGUCCUUUGGGUGAGAUGGAGAGGUUAGGCUUUCCAUAUGCAUGUCCCCUCUCUUAAGGAUGCUAUUAUAUAUAUUCAUUCUCAAGCACCCCCCACCACUUUAAUCCUAGUUAUUUGCCACAAAACCACCUUAUUUGCUCCACCAAACCUGUGGGGUCUUUUGAUCCACCAACAAGAGUGUUAACGGGUCGGAUUCGAGUCAUGGAGCGCGUAUUUUCAGUAUCUGAUAUCGAAUACGAGCAUACAAAUAUAACCAGACCUUCAAAUGGUCGGAUUUGUGUCGAAUCGGAUGGCGGGUUAGUGGAACAAAUGACACUCCAGGUUAAACAAAUCUCAAGCAUUGUUAAGUAGUAGCUCACUACAGGAGAAAGGUAAAUGGGGACCAUAAGGAAGAGCCAUAAUAUUAUUCCUUGAAUAUUAAACAAAAUGGUACAUCUCGUGCGACUAGUGGGCUGAGUUAUUCAUAAUUGCAAAAGAUGAAUCCAUUAUUGCUAGAUUUACCCAUUGAUUCACUUUAAAGUUCAAAGUUAACCCAGUAAAUGUGACAUGAAUUUAGACUACAUCAACCUACUUGUACUCUAAACCGAACUAUUUCCGACAUUUAAUAGGCUAUAUUUGAUUUGAACAACAUAAGAAACUAAACUCGAAUCUAAACAGAACAAUUUCUGACCUUUAAUAGGCUACAUUUGAUUCAAACAACACAAAAAAGGUAAUCUCUUAUUUAAAAUGCCAAAAUUUGGGAUUAUUUCAGAUCAAUAAUGCACAAGAAUUAUGAACACAGAGUGCAAAUGAUCGUUGUAUGCAUUUUAUAUGAAGCUUUUAAUAGAAAAUAGUUCUAUAACAAUCCUGUGAAAUAUGCUUCUGAGUAAAAGCACACUAGGGAACUCCAAAAACCCCAACAUUUCACAUUUCCCCUUUUUUUUCUUUUUUAUAUUGUCUAACUUACAUUAGGCUAUGAGAGAUUAUUGACAAAGGUAAACAAGUAGAUGGAUACAGUAAUUUACAAAUUUAUAGGAAUACAUACAACAAUCAAUGUGGGUUCUGUCACUGUGGGUGGUUCCUCUCAGGUGAUUUUGCGAGGUAAUUUGUUGGCUUGCCCUCGCUGACGAAUAUUUCAUUUUGUUCGUUUGAACUGAAUAUCUAUUGCCUGACCUAAAAACAAAAACGAGAAAAAAGAUAUUAUCAUGUUAAAAAUAAGUGUACGAGUACAAUAUGAGUGGCCAUUCAUUUAAGAAAAUGUGAAUCGUAACCAUGUGAGUGCUUGGGGCAAUAAACUAGGAGAAGCACACAUCACACCAAAAUAACUUACAUUUUGGAAUAUAUAGUCCCCGCAAAUAUCUGAACUUGCAAAAAUGUCACUGUAAAGUUGGUAUUUGCAUGUGCACCCUUGAAUUACCUUGUUUAUUUAUGUCCAUACCCCUUUGGAAUUGGGGAUAUCAAUGCAAAAAAGGUUUUGUAUACACCCCUCUAUGAGGUGGAUGAGUGCAGCUAAAUGCAAUUUUAAGGAGCACACAUAAAUUCCAACUAUGCAGAGAUAUUUGAGUCAGUUGGCAUAUUUUCUGGGUAUAAUUUAAAAAACUACUGACUAGUCCCACGGAAGAAAAUAUAAUUGAAAGAGGUACUAACCUUUUAGCACAAGUUAAUUCACUUGAAAUAACAUCAAAGCUCCUGUCUACAGGCUCAAGUUCAAUUUGUGAAUCCACGUUAACUGUGCUAUGAAGUCUGCAUUUGUUUCAUGUAGCGUAAAGCUGAACGCAACAUCGCUCUCGCCUUUCUAUCAGGUGCACAUCCUGAUGAAAUCAUUUCUUCAUAAACAGCAGGAACCUGUUGACAGCAAAUGAAGUAUAUGUUUAGAUCUUUCGCCUUAAUCAUAUAGUAUUUAGAAAAAUACUUCAAAUCAUAAAGCAUUUACUAGUCAUUGUUUUGUACUCAUACAGGAUGGGCAAAAAUUCAAAGUUUUUUUAAGUUUCGGAAUUAAAAAUUAUAGCUAUAAUUGAUGCUUUAGCCAAAUAGAAAUUGGUUGGUGGUCAUAACUGGUGAGAUAUAAUAAAUUAGGAAAUGGAAGCAGCAAAUGGAUACACUUGAAAUUUAAAGACCUAAGAAACAAGUUGUCUCAUAAGGAUGCAAGUAAAUUACUAGAUAAACGAUGCUAUAAGGAUGCAAGUAAAUUACUAGAUAAGCAAUGCUAGUUGUACAUCCCCAAAGGACCGGUGAGAUAUAAUAAAUUAGGAAAUGGAAGCAGCAAAUGGAUACACUUGAAAUUUAAGACCUAAGAAACAAGUUGUCUCAUAAGGAUGCAAGUAAAUUACUAGAUAAACAAUGCUAUAAGGAUGCAAGUAAAUUACUAGAUAAGCAAUGCUAGUUGUACAUCCCCAAAGGGGUGUAGGAUAACACCCCACCUCCCCCCCCCCCAAACAAUUUAAGGGUGGGGACUUCACCACUAGUCAUAUGGAUGUGACUAGCAGAGUAUGGGUGGGGUGUAUAUCCUAUACCUCUUUGGGGGUGUACAAUUAGAAUUUCUCUUGAAUUUGUAAACUAAAUCACUCUGAGCACCCUUUAUUUUACUUUUGUCAAAGACUCGGGCAUUUAACAUCUCACCAUGCAGAUAAGCACUGAUGCAUAUAAGAGAUUCAGUUUAAACAAAAUUAAACUCAACAGUUCGUGACAAUAUAUAGAAUUAUGUUCCUUGCUACAUUAGUGAAAACAUUACAUGAAAGUAAACCAUGCUUGGGCACAAAUUGACAUUAUUUAUUUUCCAGUAAUAGCGAGGAUUAAAGUCAGUACCUUUUCAAACUUUUCAACACGGAUUAAAGCUUUCAUGAGGGUUGUGUAUGUGACAACAUCUGGCUUCAGAUCCUAAAGGUAUAGAAUAAUAAGAAAUAGAGAAUAAUGACGUAAUGGUAAGAAAACAUUACAAGGGAAAAAGAAAUACAUACAUUUUCCUUCAUGUAUUGCAAUACAGAAAAGGCUUCAGCAUCUCUUCGAUCCUCACCAAAUGCAUUAAUCAACGAGUUAAGGACUAAUACGCUAGGUUCUAUGCCAUCUGCUCUCAUGACCUUAAAUGCAUUUAUUGCUUGGUCUGCUAAGCCCUGGAAAUAGAACAAGUUUCAAUUUACAAGAGUGGCAAAACACUUCAAAAAGAAGUCUCAAGUUAGGAUGAUUAGGAUCCUUUCAAUAAAUCAUCUGAUACAAUAUAAACUCUGCAGGACAAAAACUGUAAGUUAAAUACUUGGAUAAAAAAGGCAGCUCUAGAAAGCUAACGGGCAAAUUAAAUUGUAAGCAAUCUCUAAAGGAAGUUCUAUUGAGAAUGAUGCAGCGAAUUGCAGAUUGACAGUGUUUUAAGAGAGUCUGCUCACUAUAACAAUACAAUAAUUAGAUUUAAUUAAGUGUUCACAUGUGUUGUGCUUUGUCCAAUGGUAAAAAUAAGUGAUUAGCAAAUUACGGAAUGACCGUCAUUCAGAUUUUCUUUCCUCAAAGUUAUAUAAGGUAAUUUAUUUAGCGACAUUACCAUCCUCAUAGUAGAAUAGGUGCUGUCUCUAAGAUUAUCAACCAGUUCGACCAGAAUCUUUAAUGCCUGCUCAGUUGUUUAAGAGUAUCAUUACACAACAAAAUGGCCAAAUACAAUGAUCAUGUAUUGCACACUCAGUGUGAUACAUCCUGAUCAAUGAAACCAGCUAAACAUUUCAGUUUCAACCAUGGAGCACAGAUUAGGACAUCAAGCAGAAAAAUAAGCCGUAAACCUCUAAGAACGAUAAAAGAAAAUGAUUGAAUAUGCACUCACUCUCUGUGCAUAUGCAUUGACCAAAGCAUGAUACAUUGUGGGUGAAGGCGCCAUCCCAUCUGCUUUCAUCGCCUCCAAGCACUCAAUCGCCUCUUUGAAUCUCCCUGACUUCCCAUACACAUCCACAAGUGUGGUAUAAGUUAUUACAUUUGGCAACAGUCCUUGUUCUUUCAUCUUCUCCAAUGUCUCUUUCACCUCGCCCCACCUUUCCUGCUCUCCCAACGAAUUAAUCACAAUGUUGUACGUUGUCGUUCCAGGUGGGCAGCCACUCGCCUGCAUUUACGAGUGAAAACAGACUUGAUAUGGAUCGAAUAGUGGCUAAGCCACAUUUAUAUUCAUAUUUCUUCUCCAAAGAAGAAUAUGGAUAUAGACACUAAAAGGUUUCUAGUUUGGAAAACCAUACUUAUAUAUAACAUUGAAAGGAAUACAAAGGAUAUUGUAUAUGUUCACAUUUGUCGCAAACGUAUAUAGUACGGUAGAAUGUGUGUAUUAUACCAAGCAUUAUAUAUAGCAUAAGCCUACUAGAGAGUUACAGAAAUGCAUGGAAAAAAAUUAUGUAUCAUUAAACAACAAUAUUACAUUUUUCAAUCUUUUAAUCAACCGAUAUCCAGUAAUGUAUUCACAUAGAGCACUUAAACUUAUAGUCAGAUAUGAAAAGCAGACAGGAUAGAUAUAAUCAUCCGACUUAUGUUAAACCCCUACCUGCAUUUCCUCAAAUAGCUGCAAGGCGCGGUUGUGACGCCCUGCCUUGCAGUGUGCAUCAAUGAUCGUGUUCCAUGUAACGAUGUCCGGCUCGAUCCCGUUGGCCCGCAUCUGGUCGAACGCAUCCAGUGCAUGGCGAAGGCCAUUGUACUUUCCAAAUGUAUCAAUCAUCACAUUAUAAAAGUGGCGGUCGGGGCUGAUCCCAUUUAUUCUCAUUUCCCUGAGCACGGCGAACGAUUUCUGCCACUGUCCUUUGUCGCGGAAGCUGGCGAGGAUGCGGCUGAAGAUGUAGGAGUUGGGGCGGAGGUCGUUGGCCUCCAUCUCUUUGAGCAGGAUGCGGGCGCUCUCCCACCGGCCGGCAUUGGUGUACGCGUCGAUGAGGAGGCUGUACGUGGCCUCGUCGGGGCUCACUUCCCAUUGGGACAUUUCGUCGAGCACGUGCUCGGCGCUCUUCAAAGAUCCGAUUUUGACGUAGCCCUUCAGUAGGGCGUUGUAGGCGCGGGUUCGGGGGCGGAUCUCGCCCGCGUGGUAGAACUCGAGGAAGAUGGCCUCGGCCUCGGCGACGCGGCCUUCGGCGCCGAGGGCGGAGAGGAGGGCGACGACGGCGGAGGAGCGCGGGGUGAGGCCGAGGGCCUGGGCGGCGGCGAGUAUGGCGAGGGCGGCGUCGGGGUCGGCGGCGCGGGAGAACGCGGCGACGAGGUCGGAGAAGAGGCGCGCGUCGGGCUCGAGGCGGAGGGCGCGGAGGUCGGCGAGGAGGCGCGCGACGAUGGCGGGGUCGGGGGGGUCCGGGGAGCGGAGGAGCGAGGUGAGGAUGUGGGAGUAGCUGGGGAGGUCGGGGAGGUAGCCGUAGGAGCGGAGGAGGGAGAGGAGGCGGAGGGCGAGCGCGGGGCGCGAGUCGACCGCGGCGGCGGAGAGGAGCGAGUUGAGGAUGAGAGGCGACGGAGGGUCCGAGUACGAGUACCGAUGNAUUCGAAUCUUAGUUAAUUUAUAUUUCCAGCUAAGUUUAUUUCUAGAUGAAAUAAACGAAGCGAAAAAAAAAAAAAGAUAAGUGGCUAAAAGCUACGCUUUUAUGCUUGAAAAAAAGUGUUAAAAAAAAUCAAAAGGUAUUUUUUUAAUUUCUUUUCUAUUUCAAUAUUAUAAUUAUAAAAAUUACAAUAGCGAUUAUCAUCGAAGAAGCAUGCAGUGCAUAAAUAUGAUAAUUUUAAGAUUUUGCCAUCGUAUUAUCAAAUUAGGCUUUAACCAAAAGCACCUAUAAGAAAAUCAAAGCUAGAGGUGUGUUUUACUUUGAGCUUUUCUAUAUGUACAGAAAUACCAUGCAAAGAGCUACAAUUCAAUAGUUUUGGUAGGUAGCCUCCAUACCAUAAUAUAGAAUGCAAUUGACUGCAGCUAAAAGUAAAAAAAGAAACAAACUCAAAACAGACAUUCAGAACAUAGUAUCCGUGCUCUCGGAUGAAAUAUUGUUUAAUUAAAUAAUGUCUGAAAAGUAAUACUAGAAAAGGUACAAUAAAGAUCAAAGUGGUGCUAAAUUUACAACUUGUAACGGAUUUUAAUCUUACAACAUCUUUAUUUAAAUGCUAUUUUUUCUGUUAGUUCUAUAAUUCUUUCUUUUUUUAAAUGAACAAGACAGUAAAUUCAAAAUAUUUUCGAUGAGAGAUGGUAGAAAUUACAAUCUCUUUCCGAUUGUAGACUUAGGUAAAUUAAAGCUGAACUUGGUACAAGUAAAAGAUUUGUUGAUUUUGUGGAAAACAAAAAGGUGAAACUAUUUUCAAUUGUUAAUUUACAGUAUGAAAACUUUUAUUAUCUUUUUUUUUUUUCUAUUUGAUAAUAUUCUCUGCUGCCAUCCAUGUUCAUUAAUCAUUAUAGUGUUUCGAAAAAGUAAAAUUACUAUAGAAAAUUUUAAUUUACAGUAAAUUAACAAUUGAAAAUAGUUUCACCUUUUUGUUUUCCACAAAAUCAACAAAUCUUUUACUUGUACCAAGUUCAGCUUUAAUUUACCUAAGUCUACAAUCGGAAAGAGAUUGUAAUUUCUACCAUCUCUCAUCGAAAAUAUUUUGAAUUUACUGUCUUGUUCAUUUAAAAAAAGAAAGAAUUAUAGAACUAACAGAAAAAAUAGCAUUUAAAUAAAGAUGUUGUAAGAUUAAAAUCCGUUACAAGUUGUAAAUUUAGCACCACUUUGAUCUUUAUUGUACCUUUUCUAGUAUUACUUUUCAGACAUUAUUUAAUUAAACAAUAUUUCAUCCGAGAGCACGGAUACUAUGUUCUGAAUGUCUGUUUUGAGUUUGUUUCUUUUUUUACUUUUAGCUGCAGUCAAUUGCAUUCUAUAUUAUGGUAUGGAGGCUACCUACCAAAACUAUUGAAUUGUAGCUCUUUGCAUGGUAUUUCUGUACAUAUAGAAAAGCUCAAAGUAAAACACACCUCUAGCUUUGAUUUUCUUAUAGGUGCUUUUGGUUAAAGCCUAAUUUGAUAAUACGAUGGCAAAAUCUUAAAAUUAUCAUAUUUAUGCACUGCAUGCUUCUUCGAUGAUAAUCGCUAUUGUAAUUUUUAUAAUUAUAAUAUUGAAAUAGAAAAGAAAUUAAAAAAAUACCUUUUGAUUUUUUUUAACACUUUUUUUCAAGCAUAAAAGCGUAGCUUUUAGCCACUUAUCUUUUUUUUUUUCGCUUCGUUUAUUUCAUCUAGAAAUAAACUUAGCUGGAAAUAUAAAUUAACUAAGAUUCGAAUUAGAGAUCUCGGAUAUCAAUCAUCAAGUCUUUUACCAUUUGCUCAGAGGACGGUCGGUAGCUUUUAGUCACUUAUCAAGCUUGAAACAAUACAGCCAAUACUAUUUUUCAACCAAUGACUUGUAUUUCUCAUAGAACGUGAAUGGGAGGCCCAACAUCGAAAUUUGUACUGGUCCAUGAUUAGUUGGGUUGGGGCUUUAGGUGGGUCGAACUGGGCCUAGCCCGGUCGAGAAUAAGAAAAAAAAAAGGGAGAGAAAUUAAAAGAAAAUAAAAUAAAUGGUCCACGUAGAUAAUGACAUGGCACUCAUCUAAGUAUCCACGUGGGAUCCAUCACGUGGGAAUUCCACGUCAUUUCGUUUUAGUGGCGGAUCAGAUCAUCACCAUCUUCCGAUAUCCUCGGCUCGUGGCGGUGGCCGCGCCACGAGGCCCCGCUCUCGCUCCACCUCAUAUGUUUCUCUCCUCCCAAUAAAAAAAUUAAUUUUUGACAUUUAGAUAUUACCCACCAAGUACUAAUGGUAACUUAUUUAAACAUCUCCUUUAUUUGAUUUUAUUUUAUUCUUUUUUUAAAAAAAAAAAAAGGAAUAGAUGCUUUGUGGUGGGGCCCAAGAGAAUCGAGUGACUCAGGUGGGACCCGCAAGGACCGGCCCCACCCGGCGCAGGGCGGAGGCGCCGCCACGUUGGACGCGAGGGAUCUCAAACGCGGGAGUGGAGCCACGUCACCCGAGGGGCGAAAAUAUCCGCGCUCGGGGCCUAUGCGGCAGCCACGUGUCGAUUUCUGAGUCGGACGUCGAGGCCCCGGCGAGUCGCGGAGACCCCGUACGAGGACCCCACUGAAAUGACCAAAAUGUCCUCUCACACUCACGGUGCGGCACGGCAGUACCAGUACGGCGGGAGAGGUCGAGGGUAAUAUCGGUAAUUCGGAGGAUAAAGGGAGGACGAAGCUUCCGAUGGAGGCGUUAUCCUUGUUUCCGAUUUCUUUUCGCGUUUUUGCCCAAACUACACAAACCAAAACGAUCGAAAGCAAAAUUAGAGAGAGAGAGAGAGAGAGAGAGGUGAGAGGACGGAGAUGAAGAAGUGUGAGCUGUGCGAUGGGGUGGCGAGGAUGUACUGCGACUCGGACGAAGCGCAUCUGUGCGGGGGCUGCGACGCGAAGGUGCACGGCGCCAACUUCCUCGUGGCGCGCCACACGCGCGCGCUCCUCUGCCGCACGUGCCAGUCGCCGACGCCGUGGCGCGCGGCGGGGGCGCGCCUCGGCCCCGCGGUGUCCGUGUGCGAGCGGUGCCUCAUAAGAGGCAGAGGCGGUGGGGGAGGCGGAGGAGGAGGGGGCGAGGAGGGAGCGGAGGAGAGAGGAGGCGAGGUCGAGGAAGCGGCGGAGGAGGUGACGGAGGAGGAGGGGGAAAACCAGGUGGUGCCGUGGGCGCUCACGCCGCCGCCGCCGCCGCUGACGGAGGAGACGAGCUCGUCCUCGAUCAGCGACGCGGGUGGGGAGGGGGACGAGGAGAGCACUCGGAUUUGUAAUCAUAGGUCGACGAACAAACGGAUGAGGCAUUGCUCAGAUCUCGAUUCGCAGGUAACGUUAUAGCAUUCGAUCGAUUCAUCUCUUGUCUUCGUUCUAGUUUUGCCCUAGUUUCUGGGGAUCGGAUCCGUCGGUGAUUAUUGAUUUGUUGUAGAUCGUUAGUUUUAAUGCUUGCAUUUUUGGAUCUAAUUUCUAGGGUUUGUUUCCUAUUGCUUGAUUUCAUUAUUUUCGACUUACUCUUGUAACUAUUCGAAAAUUGUGCAAAUUCUUUUUCUCUCCUAUAAAACAAUUUUUUUGUAAAAAAAAGUUCUAAAAACUGAGGUCUAAGUAACUAUUUGUUUUUUAGUAGCGGUUUAUUUCUUUCCAUAAUUGCCUAGGACGAUUAUUACAUUUUUUUUAUUUUAUCCAUAAAUAAUUGCAAUUUUAUUAGUUUCAUCGAUGUAUUUGAUGAUCCAACGGCUCAGACUCACUCUGCAGGACGAUCUUCUCCCCUCGUCCUCAUCAUCGCACCGUUCUCCGCCGUUGAUCUCGGGUGAAUCUACAGCGGAGGACGAGGCCACGUCACUCGCCGACCCCCUUCUCCGGCGACGACCCUCAAAACACCGUGAGAGGACGACGACCCCGGAUCAACCCGGCUCUAAGCCGAUCUCCACCGUUAACGUCGCCCAAAGCGUUGUGUACUGUCGAGAAAUCUCAGCCGUUGAUUUUGCGUCCUCCCGCUCUCAACACCCUCCGAUCUAAGUGAGUCCUCUUGGACCUUAUUCGUUCCUAGCAAACGUUAUUAUGACCUUACUUUGUUUCAUUUACUUUUAUUUUGUGGUGGUGCUUGAAUGGUGUGGCUUUGAUUCAUAGGGACCUCCCAAAAAGAUAAAAUAAAAAAAAAACUUUAAAAAGCUACCCUGUGGUAUAAAAUGUUGCUGUCUUAUGAAGUAUAGUAUAUUAAAAUGCUAUAUUUGAAGGCAUAUUAUUUUGAGAUUUGCAUUUUGUGGCUUAGUUAUUACAUGAUUUAUGUAAUAUAACAAAGUUCUUAUUUUUUUUAAACAAAUUCUAAUGGAGAAAAUAAUAUAAAAUCAAAGCAGGCAAAGUAUUGUACUUCAUGUAUGAAUAAUAUAAUUGCUGCUACCCUAAGCCAUCAGGAUUUGUUUUGUAGUUUUUCCGGAGAAAGCUUAAAAAGUAGACCAGAACAAAACUGUAAUUUUCUUAGAACCAUACAGAACCAAACUGCAACUUUUAUUGGUUUUCUAAUUUUCGGAGAACCAUUUAACUGAAGAAUCAAGGUUGCAAAAAAAAAGAUUAUUUUCUUUUGCCUGUUCCAUCAAGAAAUCUGUAUCUAUUCAUUGAAAAUGAAUUACAGAAUCUGAGUCUAAAUCAGAAAACCUCCUGGUGAAUAAAGGGUCGGUUCGGGGAUGGAAAAAGAAGUUUUUGUUCCAUGUUGAAUCAGCAUUUACACGAAAACACUGAUUACUGAGACAUAUACAAAGUAUUUACACCUGUAUUUACUAAGUUGACCAAUCCUACUAUGUCAUAUACGAGCCAGGCAACUUAGAAAUGUAGCAUGCAAUUGUUGACCCGCAUGUCACUCUUUGAUUGGAAUUGGUCUGAUAGACCUGUUCAGUGUCGAUUCUAAUUUUGAUGUAACUAGUAUACUUUCAUAAAUUCAUUCCAAACAGUCACAUGUCCACAUAGUUGGGUUGUGUCGUUAGCAAAGUAGAUAUAGUUUGGUUGGUUGAGAUAAAGAGACGACUCCUUAUUGGUUACCCUUUUGAUUUAGAUCAAGUAAGUGGACUUAAAGCUUUUGCAUUUGGUGGUUUGGAGUUAGUAAGCAUGGAGUUUGACGUCGAUGAAUUAAAAGGAGGAAUCGCUCUCUUUUUCUCCUUUCAUCUUUUUGAAUGGGUCUGCACCAUAUUCUAUCCACUAAUGGGAUAGUAUAAUAAUAAAUCUUUCUUUAAUGCAUGGUAUAAUAAUAAAUCUUUGUUUAAUGUAUUCUUAAUAUAUGGCCCAGCGUGCCGAACGUGGAAGCAAAGCUUAUUUAUACCUUCCGUAUAAGACAUAAACAGCUGUUGCUAAUUUCACUUUCUAUAUAUCUUAAUCGUAGGUUUCCAUGGAGCUUGUGAAAAUAUCAUAUUCAUAGAUCCUUAGGGGACUUUAUUUAUUUAGUUAUUUAUGUGGCUGAGAAUUACGGAUGGCAACUAGCAUUGGUAUUUUAUCUAUUUAGAAAAUUUAUGAAGUUUUAGGUGCUUUUUGUGGAAAAAUGAACUAAAAAGAUACUGUGAGGAAUAUCUUAUUUAGUGAAAUGAAGCAUUAUUCUUUUCAGGGUAUUAUUAACCAGGAAUAUAGGGCAUAUUUUUGUUAGUUGUGUGAUGGUGGUGAUGAGAUAGAUUCGGAGAUCUUUAAAGACUCUAGAGAGAUCUAUAAGUUUUUCUAUCCAGGAGAUUUAUGCGGUGGGCGAAUAACAAUAGUGGCAUCUUUGAUUGCUUGGUUACAAAAUUCCUGGUGUCAAAGCUAGAGAGAGAGAGAGAGAGAGAGAGAGAGAUUGUAGCCUCUAAUAAGGUUUAGAAGUUGACUGGUGUGAUGGUGAUGUGGAUCAUGGGAUGGGAACAAGUCAUCAGUUGAGGUGUUGAGGGAGGAGAUUUUUUUUUUUUUUUAAACUAUUCUUUCCCUAGGUUUAUUAGAUACGAAUGGUGCCAAUUAAGUCGCAUAUGAGGCUGUUGAACUCUUUUCUUUUUUGGUUUUGGCCCUUACUGUAAAGUGGAAAGCAUAAGAGUUGCUUAGUUGAGUCUUAAUUGCUAUCUAUGCUGAUGGAAGGUUGAUCUUCAUGGCCCAUUUUGAUAGUGCGAGGUGAUCGUCGUUGUAGUCGUCAUCUCUCUUUCUUAUCUCUCUUUCUUAUCACUUAAUACUUAAAAACUGUGCAUCCAUGUUUGGACCAAAAGUGUUGAUAUGCACAGAGGAGGGUUUAUUACGGACAAAAUUGAUUUUCAAGUCUAUUCUAUCAAAUAGCACCAAAACAGGCACCAUGGGAGGGUAGAACUGAAAACAAUGAGAGAGAGAUAGUUGCAGUUAAUCUACUGCUAGCAAAAUCUGUAUUAGCUCCGGUGGUCCAAACUCUAUAAUAGUGGUUCCUUUCUACGAGCUCAUACUUCGACUUUUCAUAUUUUACUUCUAUUGCGUGAAAGUUAGUUACACCUGCAAUGAUCCCAUUGGCUUCUUUUCAGAAAGGGCUAGACCCUCAACAUUAGUCACAUAGUCAUAGAGUGGGUGCUACGGAUAACCAUCUUUACAACGUCGAGUCAACCCUCAACUGCUUAAAUGCACUUAACCACCCUGUUUGGCUGCCCCAAAUCCUGGAAUUUCAAAGUACUGGAAUUCUAGUUUUCAUAAAUCUAUUGUUUCAUUGCAUUAGUUAAUGAGAAUUCAAUUCAUUCGGAAGGAUUUGACGGAAUUUCGUAUAAUACAAAUUAUUCUCAUUCAAAUCCAAUGAUUUGAGAUCAGAUUUGGUGAGAAUUCAUUUGCUCUUAGUUAUAUUUUAUCAAUAACCACUUAAUACUCCUCAUUUAAUUAGUUGUAAUAUUAUUUUACUAUAUAGCUGAGUAUAGAAUAAGAAGAGUAAUCACAUUGAAAUGAUUUCGUCUUUUACCAAACAACAAAGUAGAAUAGAAUUUAGUUGAACUCCAAUUUAAUCCAAAUUAAAAAGUUUAUUUCUAAAUUAAUUCGGGUGAGUUCUUCUUAUCUGAAUUCCAUCAAAUUCAAUUCAAAUUUUUGCCAAACAAAAUGAACAUCAAAUAACUAUAUAUUCCCUUAAUGCUUUUUUUUUGUUUUUUAAUUUGUUUCUUACUCAACCUGCUUGCAAAUUCUUGUUGUCGUUGCAGAUGAGGUUGGGGUUGCUGGUAUCAUCAAUAACUGCAGAGAGAAAUACUCAGCUUGGUUUUUUAUUAGAUUCUUAAUCAGAGUCAUCAUUAGGAUAUAUCUCUAUAUGCAUACACCUGACAGAGAAAAUAUUGAUACCAUUUUAUGGAGCAGCUAACCAUAGUAAUACAACCAUUUCUGUGUUUAAUGUAAGAAUAUUCACAAACCUAUUGAUUUUGUUUGUCUGAAUGUGUCAGUCUUCUUGUAUGAAAGAGAUCCUCAGUGUAGAGAAUGUAAUCAGUACCUGUAAUGAAACUUUUAUUUUUCCUUUAUCCCUCAAAUUUCAAUACUUUUAUUUUUUUUGUGAAGUGGAUUACCUGUAGCUUUCAUGUCCUAUAAAUCACAGAGAUUGAUGGCUAGCAUUAAUUAUGUUUCUCUGCAUCUAGUAAUGAAUAUGGAAUCUGAGAAUAAUAUAAUAUAAUCAAUCUUUCCAGAUAAUUUUGCAUAUCACAUUCUGCAUCCAGUCAAUUGAAUACAUCACAAGAUACGGUAGCCAAAUGUUUUGAGAAAGAGAAAAGGCCUUAUAUAGUCCUCUGAGAUUAAAUAGCUCCAAUCUAAAAAAUAAAUAAAAGCUACCUGAGCUGAUACAAGCUUUCCAUGUUUGACGACUUGCUAUGCAUAAACUACAAUACCCUGGGUGUUUCGAUCAAUGUUCUCAUUGAUCGUUCUGUAUGAUCCCAUACUACAUCACACCACUCUGGACAAUGUUCUGUAUAUAUAUAUAUAUAUAUAUAUAUAUNNCUCGCAGGAACUGUAUUAAUUUAAAUAUCAACCAUUUUACAGAUGAUCCAUAAAGCAAAAUUAGACGCAGCAUGAAAUUGUUGGUGGGCUUUUGCUAUCUGCAAAGCUCCCUCCCAACAUUUAUGACCACUAGAGAGCUCUUUAUCUUAAAGUGAGUCUCAGGUUAGCCCUACACUUCAUGAUUCAUGAAAGAUCAAUGUGUUGCCCGCACAGCUGCUCUAGCUCUUCUUCGAGAAGUUGCAAUAACUUCGCUUUUGUUCGCCGGUACACCCAGCCCUUUGUUGCCGAGUCCCAAUCAAACCUAGAAGGUCCGCUACAUGAAGAGAAGUUUGCAUGCAAUCACUCUUAAGGAAAUGAUAAGAGGAAAAUACUUCCAGGCCAGUGGAAAGUAAGCAACAUAGUAUUCUGGAGUAGAAAAAUAGUAUGUCCACAUGUUCUUGGAAGUGAACAACAUCUUAAUAUAAAGAUCCAAACUAUAUUAAGCAUGACAAAAGCUACAUCUGGUGGAUGAUUAAUCUGAUAAUGGCCUGCUAGGUGUGAUUUCUAUCAUUCCAUCGAAGGGAGGCAAUACCAUAGCUUGUAAUAACAAGUAGAAUUUCCCUACCAUAGCUUGUAAUAACAAGUAGAAUUUCCCUACUCCACUUUGAAAAGUUUAAAGUAAGAAAUUUGCAGAGAUCCCCUGAACUAUAGGCCAAUGUGAAAUAGGCCCCUGAACUUGACGAUGGGGUUGCUGUGGUGUCACAUGCUAGACUUGGUAAUCCCACAGAUUAACCUGUAAAGUGGCGCUCGUAUUACAUACGUUACUGCAUAUGCAGUGCACUCCUUUAAAAACCCUACCUUGACUGCACCAAGUGAUUUGUACAUCAGGACUACCCACCAUCAAACAUAGUAGGUAGCUAUAAGGAUACUACUUCAGCGAUUAGCUAAUUGAACACUAGGACGUCAAAUUCAAUAAGAAGGACGUAGCAAAUUGUUAUUUAAUUGUUCACUGUUCUGUAACUACAUCUCUUUUUUCUUAAAUUAACUUACUAAAUUGUUAUUUAAUUGUUCACUGUUCUGUAACUACAUCUCUUUUUUCUUAAAUUAACUUACUCCAAAAUAAAUACAGUGUCUACAGGACUGAGCAUCUAUUCACAAUUUGAGUUUCGCAAGCAAUAGAUACUGUGAAAGGUUACAAUGUAACAUAAAAUAAAUGGCAAAUGUUAUCUAUCCGCUUUACAGAGUAGCAACCUCAACCACCAACAAAACUUGCAUCAGAAAUCGUUCUAAAAUUAGCUAGAAUCUGAUUCUCAGUUCAGACUAUGAAGCCAUUACAGGAGACGUCAAGGCAACAAUUCGACACGAGAAUAUCCAUCUUCGACCCAACAUAUUGAUUUCAAAGAGUAAGUGAAGCACAUCGUAAAUGCUACCGCACGACAAAAAUAAGAGCUUACCAUAAGUUUUCGUCAAGAACGUACCUCACAGGUGAAGAUAACCAAAUUUGUCGGUUUGGUGUUUGCUUGUUUAUGACAUACGUCCCCAAACUCCCCAGUUUUAAUGUCAAAACAUGAUUCUGCGAGAUGUAUAAUAACCAUACAAUUUAAUCAAACCACACAGUGCAGCUAAUUAUCAAAAAUCGAAGGAUUGCACAUCAUCUUACCCCAUAGUCUACAUCAUAACCAUCCAUUUGAAGGGAGUCACCAUAUUCCUACCAACAGAAAAACAUACAUAGAGAUCAAUGGUGCUUAAACAAAGAAACCUCUCUCAAUUGCGCAUGGAUAACCAAUUAUUUCGCACAAAUGGAGAGGUGUAAUUACUAAUAAUAUCUUCGAUCAAAAUGCCUGCAUCAAAAAGCAAAACAUAUUGUACUUUAAAGCGACAUUGGUAGCUACACAACGAGAAUUACCUCAAAUUUCUCUUGCAAGCUAUGUAUAGUAUCAUCAGCAAGCCUAUGGAACUCCUCCUCUGGCAUCAUAGAUCUGCUACCAAAUUAAAUAUUAUUCAAAUGCCACGCAAAAUCGAACGACACCGCAAAAACUUUUUUUUUUAAAUUCCUAAAAAAGCACAUACAAGUUAUAACAAAGGAAAUAAGAAACAAAAAAUCAAUUAAAAAAAACCCCAUUUUCACUACCAAUCGUACCUUUCAACACUAAUAAUUCCAAAGCAAGCAAACGAAAAAGAAAGAAAGAAAGAAACUCUAACACUUCAACAUGGAAACAGAAAAAAGAUUAAACGUAACCUGGAGAACCAUUCUAUCAACUCACCGAUAAUCGAUUGCGGCGGGGGCCUGCGACUCGUCGAUAUCCGACGCUCGCGAGGAGAACGAAGCCCUCGAAAGAGUUCGCGACGAAUCGAUCCAAUGCGAAGCCCUAGAAGGGGCGACGAGGGCUCCAUCUCCGCCGACGCGCGGAGCUGUGGAAGCUUCGCGAAGUUGAGGGGCUCCGAGAAGAGUAGAGGAGGAGGAGGAGAAGAGAGGAGGAGAAGAGCGAAACCUCGCGAGUAAUUGGCGUCGGAUUAGAAGCUUCGAGAAGGAGGAACCCGCCAUCGUCGUCCGUACCCUGAAGAAAGAGAGCGAGAAAAAAAAGAGGAUCUUUAACAAGGAAGGUAAAAAUGAACAGGGACCCCCUCAACUAUAUAUAAAUUUGACAUAAAUCACUCUACAUUUUUUUUAAAAAAAAAAAUAAAUUAUUUUUGCCUGACAAAAUUUAGUUGGUGUUUAAAUUUAUCAAUUUUGAAUGGCGUUUUUUAGCUGAUAAAGUUAUUGAUUUUAACGAACUUCUAGUUUAAUUCAGAAUAUAAUUUAAAUCAUAUUAUUUAAAAGUUAAAGAGGACGUACAGAGUUUAUUCGAUACUCUUUGUAUGAAAAAAUGUUAAAGUUGGAGAGGCCAUUAUACAUAAGAGCUUAAAUUAUACUACCUUCAAAGUUGAAAACAAAAGAUCUAAUUUAAUGCUUCACCGAAAAAAAUAGAAAAAAGAAAAAGGGAAGGGUUUGUAAGGAUCGUUUUAAGGAAGAAGUAGCAUGAGCAAUAAUCAUCCGAGGGUGUCUAAUUUCAGAUCCUCUCGAGCCCAGUGAACUCGGCCAAACUAAGCCCAGCCCAACCCACAAAAGCGCGGGUCAAAUUUGCUCGGAUCUGACUAUUCGUGCUUCUUCGAACAGAUUUACAGAAACAACAUUUCUAUAGACACUCCGGCUAAACCAAACACGGCCUAAUCUACCAGAAUAGCAAAGAUUCACAAAUGAGCCAAAAGCACUGCACAUGCCACAAAAUCCUAUAAAGGCCGAGAAUAAAACACAAGUUCUUCACUUGCCACUUCAAGUUCAUGUCCAUAAAGCAAGAACGAAGAAACAUUUAGAGGUAAAACAGAUGGUAUCCCGCAAAUGGGGCGAGGUUUUCAAACAUCGUAAAAUGUAUUGACAAAGCAAAGCAAUAAGAACUUUGGAUGCACCACCAACGAACUAAAAGACAAAGAAGAUACUCAUCAACCAUCGAAUUUAUGACAGAGCGAGAGUUGGCAAGGUAAAAUGGAGGAUAAAACUAAAAAGUAGCACAAUUCUUCAAGUAAACAGCAGAGUCCCCCCACAGAAGCCUCAGCUAGUUUAUCCACCACCUCCAUCUGAUCAUUACAUUCUUUUACUUCCUGCGACAAACAAAAAAGAACAAGUAAAAUAUAAAAUAAAAUUGUAGAGCACGAACCACAGCAAAUUAGUCAAAACACCAGUUGCGCUAAAGAAUUUUUUUUUUUUAAAUGAGAGAGAGAACAAUCAAUAACUUUGAACAGUCAGAAACAAAGUAGAAUAAAAAAGACUGCGUGAAACUGAAAACAAUAUGCAGGAUGCAGCUUCAUGCCACAUUACGGAAGGCAAUUGAAAAGGAAAGGGGGGAGUAAGUUAAUCAACUGGAAAGCUUUAUAAUCCAAAUUAUGAGUUUUAGCAAACAAUAUGAUUAUAGGCAAGAGCAAAGCCACAUGGGAGGCAGAAGUAUUGUUAUUUACUUCAGACAAACAAAGUAACGACGACGUAGGCAACUAAAAUGAUGAGUACUGAACAGACAAACUACUAGUCUAAUAAUGUGAAAAGUAACAGGAAUUUUGAACUAGCAAGAUGUAGUCGGAAUCAUAAUCCUAGGGAUACGCUAGGUAUUAUUUAUGUUUUUUGGUUUUGUUUCCUCAAGUGCUUUGCAACUGAAAGCCCUAGGAAUGGACCGCUCCAUUCUUUUUACUGUUGAUCAGUUAGCAAUUUUUUUGUCAGAAAUCUUCUGUUGUCAAACAAACCCCAUAAAAGUAGGGAUUACAAACAAUCCACAAUAGCGAAAAUGAGUAGGGCCACACUAUUUCCCGUUUGCCUAUAAUCGCAAUAUUGCAUGGAGGAAAAAAAAAAAAAAAAAGCGAAAUAAUCUAAAUUAACCCAAAAAAAUUUUGACCCCUGAAAUAUAGUGGUACUGGCAAGAGAAGUUGGUUGUUAGACAUGUCUAGCAGCAACUGGCAGCUGACAAUAUGAGUACUUUUCUUAAAAACAAAACAUCACUUGACAUGCUACUAACACAUUCUUUUAAUAUUCUCACCUGGAUUGAAGAGGACCAUUGCUGUAACCCUGAAUUCCCAUCAACCAUCUGCAAAAGCCACCACAGUUUAAAAAAGUAAAGGAGCUUUGCCUCAAAUCAUCAGCUAUAAAUGAAAGUUUUGCUUGCUUAGCAAAGUUAAAGCUAACAUUUAUGGCUUCUCUAGGUCUACAAUAAUAAACUUCAGCAUCAAUCACUUGGCUAUUUGCAUCUCAACUAUGUCACCAACAAGCAAAAGCACAAAAAUAAGCCAUUACCAAUACAGCGUAAGUGCAGAUACCAGAGCAUAAUUCAAGAAAUACAGAAGAUAAUAUUCUUAAAUGGCAAAAGUACUUGCAAAAUUUAAGUAAAGCUCCUCAUCCUCUGCAGAUAAACCAGGGGAAAAAACCAAAAAAAAACAGCCUCCAGAAACUCAAUAUCACCUCCCGAAAUUCAUGAUCUUCUCCAAAAGCAAGAGACAAAACAUAUUACCUGCCCAUAUGUAAGUAAUAAGUACACUAUGAAACAAGUUAAAUAUAUCUGGUCACAACAAUGUCUAAUGUCUCAUCUAGUCACUAAAAUUCAUACCUAACUCUUUUACUUACUACCUAGUUUUAUCACAGCAAAGUAGCUUUUAGUACCAACAGAAUAAACAUGGGCAUAAUUUUUUGUAAUAAAAGCCUAGAGACUACCCAGCACAGCACUAAGCUCCGAUCAAUAGAGCAACUCCAGGGAAAUCACUCUAGAUUUGUAACUAAAAUCUUUUUACAUAUGAAAAGUGCAUAAUGCCAACUAUAAUUUUCCGGGGAAAAUAGGAAAAUAUAGGCGAGAAGGGACAAGAAACUCUCCGGUAUUCCUCUACCCUCAUGCUAGCUUUGUAGUCUGACACCCAGAACUCAAAUGUAAAAUUGAGAAACCAAAUUACUCAAACUUUCCAACUAAGAAGAUUAGCAGCACUUCCUAAAUUAAUCAGAAAUUCAAGUUCCUCAAAGUCCCCAGAACUUGCUAAGCAGACUUUGCAGCAAUACUUAAUUAAUCAAAGAUCAAUUCUCUCAAAAGUCCAGUAAAACUUGAAAUAUGCUAGUAAUAUUUUGACAACGAACAUGACGCAUCAAAACAGACUCAACUUUAGAGAGAACCAAGUACAUUGUUGUACUUGCACAUUCAACUAAUGCACAGAAACCGCAUUUUAAAUUUUCAGCAGAAAUAUUAAAAUCUAUUCUCAGCUAAUGGCCCUAGAAAAUCCUAAUCAAGAACCACCCAUGUUUCAGCUAAUUGGGCUAAACUAAUUAAUUUGAUCUUUUGAGAUAAAUAAAGACCACAUGGACGUAAACUAAUUAAUUUGAUCUUUUGAGACAAAUAAAGACCACAUGGACGUCCUUAUUUGCAUUAAUCUUGAUCUUAAAUUGACGACUCAUGCCAGUUUUUCGUGCUUCUAUCCAUAACUCCUCCAGAUACUUACUAGAUAAAGGAAAAUUUCAGAUUCUCAGCACUUCAUACAUAGAUCCACAAGUGCUGCUUUAAUCAUUUUGCUAAUAAAAAAAAGGAUAUUUUGCUGACGCGACUCACCAAAGACACAACAUGAUGCAAGCAAUGAUUUUUUUUUUUUUUUUUUUUUUUUUUUUUUUUUUGCUACACAUCUCCUAAGACCAUCGUCACCAACACUACUGCAUUCCAACAAAACAAAGAAAAGACAACGUAGAAAGGAACCAAUUUAUAAACACAGAGUGUGCCUGGUUAAUGUGUAGAUAUCCACUGGUAACCUAUUCAGAUCUGAGCCUAUUGGUAAUAAAAACACCUGGACAACCCUUAAUUUGCAUAAAACAUCCUAAUCAUAAACAAUGAAACUCCUAAUUAGGUAUCCUGUUCCAAAACUCAUACUUAGAACUGUGGGAAGGAAACCAAAAUAAAAGCUUAUUGCUCCAAUUUGCCCAUGUAUGCUUUACUUCUCUCUAACAAUCACCACACUAUAACAAAUCAGGAGAUCAUUUGCAUCCAAAAGACCGAGUAGCACGUUCGUGCAAAGUAAGAUCAUUUAACAAGAUCGUAUUAUUCACGAUAGCUUCUCCAGUCUCUUCCAACAUCAUGAUCAGAUCAGUAUCAAACAUCACACGAAAUUAAUUCUACCCAAAGCAACACCAGAUCAACAUAAAAAGAUCGCAUGAAUUGAGGGGAAAUUUUGAGAGAGAGAGAGAGAGAGAGCCUGAACCUUUAUGCUCUUCGGAGACAUCCUCCUCCUCCGGCACCGGAUGCAGCUCAACGUCCGUCUUCUUGCUCCCAACCGCAGCGGCAGAGCUCCCAUCCGCCGUCCCGGACGCGGGCCCAACCCCGUCAUCGGGGAAGCGCACGACCACGACGGGGCAGACGCAGUGGUGGACGCAGUAGUCGCUGACGCUCCCGAGCCUCGCCUUGUUGGCCUUGCGCGACGCCCCGAAGCCCCUGCUCCCCAUGAUCACCGCGCUAAGCCCUAGGCGCUCCACCUCCAAGCAGAGCCUCUCCUUCAUGUCGUGGUCCUUCACGAUGUGGAUCUUGAACGGGAACUGCCCGUCCACGAGAGGCUGCGCCAGGUCCUGCGCCUUGGAGACGGUAAACGCGUCGAAGUCGUCCUCGAGCUUCUGCUGCGACUCCUCGGAGUCGGCGUCUGCGGCGGCGGCCGCGGCGGAGACGGAGUGGUCGAUGGAGCCCCAAUCGGCGCCGUAGAGGACGGAGGUGGGGCGGACGUGGAGGAGGAUCACGGCGUCGCCGGGGCGGAGGUAGUUUUGCACCGCCCACUUCACGGCGUAGGCGCUCUCGUCGCUGAGGUCGACGGCGAUGGCGAUGCGGCGGUGGGACGCGGCGGAGGGGUUCGCCGCCGCCGCCGAGGAGAAGAAGAAGCGCGGCGACGAGGUCUGGAUCGCCGCCGCCGCCGCCGGAGGCGGCGCCUUCACCGGAGGAGGCGCCGGAUCUUGAAGUUCGGGCUUCAUGUGAGCUUCCAUGGCGGUCUAGGGUUUCUAGGGUUUUUUCCCCCCUUUUUUGGAGCGAAUUCCUGGUUAAUGUCUUCUUCUAUUUUUUUUUUUACUUAUUUUCUCAGUGCUACUGUGAGGAGACGAGGAGUAGCAUGGUUUCGGCCGUUACACAGAGAAAGGGGCGUAUAAAAUGAUGUAUUUGAGAGUGAGAAUAAACAAUAAGGAAGCUACGGGAAGGACGGUGGAUACUUUCGUAGUAUUUUUUAGGGAAAACUUCAAAAAACCCCCCCGUAGUUUCUUGCAUUCUCACUUUGCUACCCUGUGGUUUAAAACGUAUCAAUUUAUCCCCUUGUGGUUUUAUUUUUAUCUUUUCGGAAGCUUUUUCGUUAAUAUUUCGUUAAAUUAUAUACAAAAAACUUCAGAUAAUCAUCUAAAUUUAUCGAAUAGUCACUUUAGUAUCCUUUAAUUUUAACUUUGUUACUGAUUUUAAAAAAUAAUAAUAAUAAAAUUGAUAACAAAAAGAUAAAAACGAAACCACAGGGGGGUAAAUUGAUACGUUUUAAACCACAGCCCACAGGGUAGCAAAGUGAGAAUGCACGAAACCACAAGGGGUGGUUUUUGAAGUUUUCCCUAUUUUUUAAGAUGUUUACUUAAUUUAUUCUAAGUUUAUUUUUAAUUCUCAUCGAGUUAAACAAAAACUAAUUAAUUUAAAGAUAUGGUUCUUUUCCCCUCCCUACUGAAAAUGAAUUCCACAUAUCUUAGGAUUUAUUCAAAAAGAUAGCUCGCUAUCUAUUUCGUUUAUUUUUUAAAAAGGUAAAUUUUAACCGAAUAAUAUGAAUCAAUUUAAUUCGAAUUUGAAAUUUCGAAUACCAACUAUCAAACCUUUUGCAACUUGCGUUAGGAACGUCGAUAUUUUUCUUAAAAUCUUACUAAUAUUUUUUUAUUGCAACAUCUGUUAAAUUAAGAAUAAAUAUUAUUUUAGCUUUCUAUCGUAAUAAUUAUUUUUAUAUUGUACUAUUUAAUUUGUUUGGACAAUUUUUUUGAGAGAAAGAUAAUAUAUUACCCGUUUUGUUUAUUUUGUUUUAAAAAUAAAUUUAGUUAGAAACAUAAAAUAUAAUUUCUCUUAUUCUAAAAAAAUGUAUAUUUAGAUUUUUUAACAUUCAGCUAGUAUAUAUUGACUAGUUUUUAGUUUUUAUGGCGCUGAGAAAUCAAAAGAUUCAAGAAAAUUUUAGAAUUUAAAAGCGGAAGUUUUAAGCUACUAAGUCAAACGUUCUUUGAGACUUGUAGAAGUACUUAAUUUUUUUUUUAAAAAAAAAAAACUAAAUCCAGUGAAAGAUAAGUUAGAAUAUAUGUCUAAAUGGACCCUAGUGUCAACUCUUCUUUGUUUUUGUUUCAGCAAUUAAUAUAUCCCAAUUAUUGAUGUAAAAAGAUCCAUUGCUUGAUCAAUAAGGUAAGGUUUCAGUCAUGGCCAAUAAGGUGUGAAAGGUUGGAUGACCUGGUAACAAGAUCGCCCCUACUUUAGGCUCUAGCCCAGAUCAAUCCCUUCUCGGGCCCAAAGCCCAAGAACAUUGUUAGAAAUUAUAGAUGGAUUGGGCCCAUUUUUAAAAUUGGGCCCAAUAGCAUUUUCCUGGGCAGGUCGUAGAAAUAGGUCCAUAAAAUUUUUUAUUUAUUAACAUCACCUCAACUUUUGCCUAUUUCGCUUUGGUCCUCUUCUCCAAAUUUCAUUAUUUUUAACCGGAAUUCUAUCUUAUUUCUUCUUUGCUUUUAUUUUAUUUUUUCCCCCUCACACUCCAACCAAAGAAGUUUGGCUUUGUUGUGAGACUACAGGACUUGGUUGGAUGCUAGACAAGAGUUAACUUAUCUAAUACAUCUCCUUUUACAUACAAAAAAGACUAUUUGUUAUAUCUGUUAGGCAAAAAAAAAAAAAAAAGAAGAAGAAAAAAAAAAGAGAGGAAGGGAGACGAAUAUCUAUUGUAUAAUCUCUACUGCAUAUAUUUCUCAUCCUCAGUGCAACGUAUACUGAUGUUUCAGUUGAAGUCAUUAUUUGUAUGCCCCUUGAGAGCUCUCACUUGCACCCUGCUCUGCAACAGAUGACACAUCAUCAUACAUGUGUGAGAUUUGAUCCUCCAUUAAGUGCUGAAGAGACCGCGGAAUCCGCGGCACAUUCACCUCCAAAGCCCCCUCUAAGAUUUGCACCACCUGCCCCAUUGUUGGCCUGUCCAUCUCUGCAUCCUGAAUACACCAACAAGCCACUCUAGAAGCCCUUUUCACCUCCUCCAAAUCGGCUUCGCCACCCAAUCUGCUAUCCAACAAACACUUCUCGUCGCCCUCGAUCACCUUUUGCGCGGCCCAUGAAGGAUAGUAGAACUUACUGCCCUCCUCAAAGUACGUACUAUUCCUCUGACCGGAUAUUAUCUCAAAAAGCAUCAUUCCAAAGCUAUAAACAUCCACUUUUGGGCUAAUUGGUAAACCGGAAAUCCAUUCGGGAGCUAGGUACCCAAUUGUCCCCCUCAUCGUUGUUAAGACUCGGCUAAAAUCUCGACCGAUAAGCUUGGCCAUGCCAAAGUCUGCAACCUUUGCUUUGAAGUCGGCAUCCAAAAGUAUGUUAUCUGGCUUUAUGUCGCAGUGUAUGAUGCAUUCUCGGCACUUCUCGUGAAGGUACGCUAAUCCUCUCGCAAUUCCAAGAACUAUUCUAUGGCGCAUGUUCCAGCUUAGCAUGAUAGCAGAGUCCUUUUUAAAUAGAACGGAAUCUAGGGAUCCGUUCGGCAUGAACUCGUAGACCAGAAGCCUCUGGCUUCUCUCACAGCAGAAGCCGCGGAGGCGGAGAAGAUUAAUGUGCUGGAUGGCUCCAAGAGUAAGCACCUCGGCCUGGAACUGCUUUUCGCCUUGUCUGGAUCCCUCGAGCUUCUUCACAGCUACUUGUGUCGAGUCCGGAAGUGCUCCUUUGAAUACCGAGCCAAAGCCGCCGCCACCAAGCUUCUCUGAGAAGUUCUUCGUGGCGUGCCGUAAAUCACCAUACGAGAAUGGAAUCAAAGAGCCCUCCACUUUGCUCACUAUUUGAGACUUCCUCCAACGUCUGCGUAACCAAAUUAGUCCAAAGAGAACAAUGACUAUAAUACCAAGUAGACCGCCGACUAAGCUUACUGUAACUACAGUUUUUACUUUGUGUGAAUUGUUUGUACUAGGAAGAUCAGCUGCAGCGAGUCGGAGAUAAAGCAUACCACCUCCUUGAUCACCACUGUAUAACUGCUGAAGAUUUUGAAGAUUGGCCGUCCAGAUCAAACAACUGGUAUCAAAAGAAUAAGCACUACAAGAGCAAUUGUUCAAACAAGCCAUUUCACACUCCUCAGCAUUUCUAACCUUUAAUUUCUCCCCAUUACUCGGCAAUCUCAUAUUAAUCAUCAUAAAAAACCCAUCUCUCUCUUCUCCUCCUCCGUUCAAGUUUGAUUUAGUCCCACAUUUCAACUGGGUUUUCCUUUUACACCCCGAAUUCCAAUCAUUUAGCUCCCAUUCCUCAUUUAAUACUGGCUCAAACCCCUGGGGGCAUCGGCAAAGGCUCGGGCUUUCCAGGUCGCAAAGCCCAAAAGGUCCACAAAACGAGGGUACAUCACAAUGAGAUAGAGGUUGAGUAAACACUGGCUGCCACUCUUGUCUAUUGCUUAGCCAAAGAAGUUGCUGCCCCAGCCCUGAAGACUCCACCACAAAGCGAGUGAUCACCGAGCUAUCUGUCAUAGUAUACGUAGCAUACUUCCGCUCUCGGUCGUCAAUGAACGUGAAGUUAAACAUAGUAUGUCGUGCAGUUUCUGGAACUGAAGAGAAGUAUUGGCCAUUCCAUAGCCCACCACUCCAAUAUACUUGAGACCCAUUGUAUAGUAGAACAUAUUGGUCUGAUCCAUCUGGGUCCAAGCUUUCAGAGAAAGGACCACGGGCCGGGUUUUCGGGGUUUUCCCAACAAGUGAUGCUUUGAUACUCUCCGGUAAUCUUGUUAAACCCAAGCCAUCCACCCGGCAUCCAAGUAUCGCCCGGAUGGUCGAAGCUCUGCCAUAUGAUCGAUGAAUUCACCUGCAUCGAUAGACGUGACAUUAAUUGUAUUCUAUCUUAUCUUUUUGUGCGUGGCAGUGUGGGUGUAUGUGUGUGAAGAUACCGAUCUACAAUAACAACGAAAAAUAGAAGGACAUAUCUCUUUUCUGCUUAUUAUGUCCUAUUUGAGGGUAAUUAUCUAUUUAACAAUCAAUACUGAUGAGAGAAAGCGAACAUUUAAUACUUGAAUGUCGUUCAUUCCUUCUUAUUUAAUGGCUUAGAUUUACUUUUUAUUUAGUACGAUUUUUUCUUACAGAUAAUAUACUAAUGUCUUCUAUUAAAUUUAAAUAUAUAAAUGCUACAUUAGCUAAAUUAAUUGGCUAUCGCCUACCUACACGUACCCAAUGUAUACUUUUAUAUACCACACCUUUAAAAAGCUCAUGAAUUUAAAUUAGAUUUCAAUUCAUAUUUUAUGACAUUAAAAAGACUUACAAAAUUCAUAAAUAUAACGGUGUCUCUAUUAUAUAUUUUGAGCAUCUACUUACAAAAUCCAUCACCUUCUUUUUAUGUUGUUGAUUUUCUGUUCAUUUAAUGUCUAAAUAUUAAUAUAUAAUUUUUUAAAAAAUAAAUGUUAAAUAUUGAAUAUGUGUAUGAAACAUGCACAUUGGGUAUAGAUAAAAGCUUAUCAAAAUAUGGGCAACAAAGCCUACACAUCAAAUCAGAUUGACUCACCUUUUAUCUCGAUAGAAUUCAAAAUUUUCCCAAAAUCUAUUGUUAUAUACAUGUAUAUAUCUCAUGUUGCUAUUCCUAAAAAUUUUAAAUUUUUAAAAUUUUAAUAGUGAAUGACAAUUCAACUUAAUAAAAAAGUCUUUUGAGGGUAUAAAAUCAUUAAAAUACUUCCCCAAAUUAAAUCCAAAGGUUUUUGAAAAUCCGACCCAAAUCUAACCCGUUGACAUCGCUAACCUUUGGUCCCUAACCAUACUUUUUUUUUUACGAGUAAUUUUAACCUUUUUAUUUUUUAUGUUUAAAAUUAUGUUUAAAAUAUUUAUUAUCUCUAAUGGUUAAAAUAUUAUUAUAUUUAAAAUGUUUAUUAUCUUUAACCCUUCGUUUGGUUCGGAGUUAAAUAAGAACUAGUUAUUGUAGAGAUAGGUAUAAGUUCAGGAUUAAGUCUGAAAUAGACUAAUUUUGCGUUUGGAUAAAAAUUGAGUUAUUCUCGGAAAUAAAAAAAAUAGCAUUUGGAUAGAUAAGAUGGAAUAAGAAGAAUAGUGGGCAGUUAUAAUUAAAUAGAAAAUAAUGAUAUUNNNNNNNNNNNNNNNNNNNNNNNNNNNNNNNNNNNNNNNNNNNNNNNNNNNNNNNNNNNNNNNNNNNNNCUAUAUUUUUAAAUCUCAAAUUUAAAAAUUUAAAGUUAUAAAUUUCAAAUUUAUAAUUUAAAAUCAAAUCUAAAUUUAGAAAUAUAAAAUGUCAAAUUUAAAAUUUAAAUAAUUAAAAAUAAAAAUUUAAAAUUUAAAAUUAUAAAUAUUAAUUUUAAACUUAUAAAAUUUAAAAUUUAAAAUUUAAAAUUUAAAAUUUAAAAAUUAAAAUUAAAUUUAAAAAUUAAAUAGGGGUGGAAUUAGCUAAUCCCACCUCUAUUCCAGAGGUGGGUUGGGGUUAGCUAACCCCAGCCUUAUAAAUAAGUGUUUGGGGAUUAAGGGGGGAUAACCCCUUAUCCCCCCUCUUAACCCCCAACCAAACACCACCUAACGGUUUAAAAUUAUUCUUAAUUUUAUUCACUUCAAAGGGUUAAACCAAGCCGCGUAAUAGAUUGAGCUACAGUUUGACUAGUCAAAUCAGUCAAUUCAAUCUGAUUUUUAAAUUAUCGAUACUAACUUAAUAUACUGUUUAAAUCAUUGAUACUAACCCAAAACUUCUAUAUAUUGUUUAAAAUGCAUCAGAUUCGAAUGCAGGUUUUCAAAGGGUUCGGGUUCGAAUUUUGAAAAUCUGGCUCGAAUCUAACCUGUUGACAUCGCUAACCAUUAGUCCCUAAUGAUUACUUUUUUUUACCACUAAGCUUAACGUUUUUAAUUUUUACGUUUAAAUGUUUAUUAUCUCUGAUAGUUUAAAUGUCAUUAUGUUUUAAAACUUUUAUUAUCUCUAAAAAUUCAAAACUGUUCUCAACCUUUUUCAGUUCAAAGGAUUGAGCCAAACAACUUGGUACACUAGAUUACAGUCAGACCGGUCGAACUAGUCGGUUCAAUCUAAUUUUUAAAUCAUUGAUACUAAGUUAAUUAAAAUGAAUAAUAAUAGUUAGGAAGCUAAUUGUAAACUAAAAGAUAAGGAACUAAAAUUUUAAAAAUUGAUUGAAAACUGAAAAAGUUUAAAGGUAAAAAUCAAAACCAACUUAACAAAUCAAAUCAAUUAGACUGAUCAAAUUGAUAAAAUAUAUAAAUAGUCUAGAUUUGUUCCUUAUAGAUUUAUCUAAUUUAUCUACAAUCCUAAUUUUGUUACUUUAUUAAAACUCUAUGAUGAAAAUUUAUUAUAAACUUUAAAAUUUAAAUUAUAUAGUCUAAAUUUAUUUAGUCGUAAGUUUAAAUUGCACCAUACUGUUUAGACUUAUAGGAGAUUUUUAUAUAUUGUUUAGGUUCUAACCUUCAAAUUUAAUUUUAAUUUAUAUUUUAAAUUAUAAUACAUGAUCUCAUUAUUUAAAAAAAUAAAAUUUCACUAUUAAAAUUUGAAUUAAUUUAGCCCGUAUAAUUCUAUUUAUAAAAUUAAGUAGCGAGAGAUUUUAUGGUCUGAGGAGUAAAGAACCUUCAACCCUAAUUCGAUAAUGAGCUUUGAUUAUCAAUUCAAUCCCUCUAAACUACAAAAAGGAGCUUUAAUUAAUCCUUACACUGUCCGUGAGAAUGAGAUUGCUGCUAUCGAGGAGAACUGCUGUAGUGGCGUUGGAGUUUGAGGGGCUCGAACUCGACGACCAAAUCGGAGACUUGGAGCCAUUGAGAAGCACAAGGUUGCCUUGAUCUGAGAUUUUUAGUUCUGCUGAUGAAGUAUCGAAUAUGGGGGCAUCUCUAUUUGCAACCCAGACGAUGGUUUGAGUGGGGAUUUUUUUGUACCAGAUGCCUAUGUAAAAGUUGUUGUUGGAGGUGGAUGGGGAGAAGAAACCCAACUCAAAGUUGCCUUCUUUGGAGAUCAGAGUUUGGUUUCCAGAGAGAGAUUGGCCCAGAGAGAGAGAAUCAGUUGGUAGAGAGAGAUGUGUUUUGAGGGAAAAGAAGAAGAAGAAGAAGAAGAGGAGGAGAAAUGAGCGAUAAAAAGGAGGAAGAGCGAAGCAUGGAUUGCUUUUGCUAUCCAUUUGGGAAUAAAGCAUGCAAAAGAUGGAAACUUUGUUAUCUAUGCAGGAGGGAGAGCUCAAAUAUUGCCUCGUAAUUAUAUGAAGUCGAGAUACUCUUAUAUAGUAUAUAUGAAUACUCUUACACUAGAAAUAUAUUAAUUCUUUACUUAUCGUAUACGCUCAAUUCCGAAAAAGAAAAAAAAAAUUAAUAAAUAAUAAUAGCAUUGAAAUGUGAGAUUGAAAAAAAAUCAACAAAUGAAUGACAUAAAAAGACAUGGAUGCAUGUAUGCGGUAUAUAUAGACAUUAAUUCACCUUUUAUCAAUAAUAAACAAAACACCGAUCCUUCUUCGAAAAAGUGGCAAAGCGCAUGGUAAUUUAUACCAGAGGUCUUAAGUUCGAAUCCUAAUUAAUUCACAUUUCCAGUUAAGUUUAUUUCCAUCUCUCAAAAUAAUAAUAAUAAUAAUACACAAAACAAAAGGACUUAAAUAAAGCUCUUUCAAAAAUUUAUAAAUUGUUAAUAUUAAAUUUGAAAGUUCGAGAAUUAAAAUAAAUUUAUUAAAAAAUUUGAGAAAUUGUGAUGUAAUUUUUUUUAAAAAAAAAAUUAUAAAGAGGCUCGAAGCUUGGACCAGCUGCUGUGGUGGGCGCUUACUGGUCUUGAACUUUGACAUGCUCGAUACGCUGAACAAGCUGUAUUAACUAGAAGUUCCGCCAUAAACCCAUUUGAUCUGAAAGACAUCCAACGGUCCAGAUGAAACAAGUGCUCUUCCCGCACGGUGGGCCCAACGUCUGCUCUCAGAACGACGGGAUUGCGGGCCCCUCAGUACAAAGUAAGCUGAAACCGUCGACGUGGCGACCAACCAUGGGUUUCUUACUCUCUCACCCUCAAAUCACACAACCAAUGAAAGGUAGCCACGUGCAAAGAUGGAGUAUACCACACAGAAACCUUUGUAGAAGAUCUUCAACUUUCAAUGAACGCAUUCAUUGCCCCGUAAGAGGGGGCACCGAAAUUCUAAGCGACCAAGAUAUUUGGCUCAGGAAAAGAAACCACCCACACAUAUAAGCAUCAGUAGGCCCCACGCAUUUGUCAUGCAUCAUUGUAAGUACCUCUACAACAUUGGAGCUUCCAACGUUGGUCUUAUUGCAUGGUCCACACGACGAGAGAGAGAGAAAAAAACUCUCUCUUUAUUCAUUGUCGAGAAAUAAUUCGAUACUUUAUUUUAUAAAAUAUAAAAAAAAAAAUUAACUGUUAAUUAAUGACGGAGGCGCUCUUUACCUUCCUCUCGCUGCUUCGGAUCUUCCUGGUUCAAAAGGCCAUAAAGGUUUGGUUGUUGGGGGUAGUAAUCCAGUGAAAGAUAAGUUUGAAUAUAUGUCUAAAUGGACCUCUAGUUUCAACUCUUCUUUGUUUUUGUUUUAUUAAUUUAAUUAAUACAUUCCAAUUAUUGAUGUAAAAAGAUCCAUUGCUUAGUGAUCAGGUUUCAGUCAUGGGCUCAUGGCUAAUCAGGUGGCAAGCGUUGGGUGACCUUGUGACAAGAUGGGCCCUACUUUAGGCUCUAGCCCAGAUCAAGCCCUUCUUGGGCCCAAAGCCCAUGAACAUUGUUAGCAGAUAUAGAUGGAUUGGGCCCAUUUUGCUAAUUGGGCCCAAUGCCAUAUUCCUGGGCAGGUCGUAGAAAUAGGUCCAUAAAAUUUUUUAUUUAUUAACAUCACCUCAACUUUUGCCUAUUUUGCUUUCCGCCACUUCUCCAAAUUUCAUUAUUUUUGACCGGAAUUCUAUCUUAUUUCUUCUUUGCUAUUAUAUAUACUAGUGUAGCAGAUAGAUAAUAGAAACACAUUUUUAAAAUUUUAAUAAAAUUUAUAUUUAUAGCUUAUAGGAAGCUAUAUCAUAUUAAGCACAGUCAAUUUGCAUGACUAAAUUCAAUUGUUAAAAAAUAAAAUCAUAGCUAGAAGCAUAUGAAAUACAUAAAUAAUAACUUAACAUUUUUGGCUUAAGAAAAUUUUGGGUGGGGUCUCAGCCUUCAGUCUCUACAUCAUACUUUUUAAUCUACGAAAGGAAUUUUGCCCACAACAGUGUUUACUCAAAAAAAUAGUCAUAAGAUAAAAAUAAAACAAAAAACAUCAAUCUUAAAAAAACUAAUGCUUUUUUGGAGCACUUCUCUUACUCAUCCAAACCUUAUACAUAUUCUUAAUUUUCAGCUGGUAGUUGCUUCCCGCGCCGAGUCACUUCUGGAUUUUCAUUGUAACCUAUGAACAAACACCUCAUCUGCAUCACCAAACUACAAUAUCUAAACCGACACAGUCUUGCCAUCACAUCAACCACAGAAUCCUAAUACUUAAACAAUUUGAUUUACCAAGAAAUUCCUGCGAUUCUUGAAAAGUGAGCUCCCGCGCAACGUCCCGGCGAAGAGGAGGCUAGGACGCCGCUCCCCUCGGCCCAGUUGUGGGCGCGCACGAGCCGCGCAAGGAGGCAGCCGAGGUGGCGACGGUUCACGGCGAGCGAGGGCUCCGGCGCAGACCGGCCCGCGCGAGUACUUUUAUGGGCCACGACUGGACUUUACAGGACGAUACUUUUUGAAGGAGACAUCAUUCUUCGCAUGCUCUUCUUCUGCAUUAUCCUCAUAAUCUUUGUUAACACAAUGAGAUAGAGAGAAGGAGAUGAGUGUGAGGUGAGAGAUUAGAUGAUAAUCUUCUUUUUUGCAUAGAAAAUAACAUGUCAUGCAAAAAAGAGGAGGUGGGAGGAUUAAUGGUGGAGGGGAGUGGAUUGGAGUUACAAAUUAAGCUCACUAAUUGGUUGAAUAUGAUGCAUGUAAUUAAAUGUGGAGAGGUGAAGGGUUGAGUAUUUAGAAGUGGAGAUGAAACGUAAAUAAAAAAAAUGAGAGCUUGCCAAGUCAUUAUUUGAUAUUGGGGAUUCAUAACAUAUCAUGCAAAAGAGGGGAUGGGGGGAUUAAUGGUGGAGGGGAGUGGAUUGGAGUUACAAAUUAAGCUCACUAAUUGGUGAAAUAUGAUGAAUAUAAUUAAAUAUGGAGAGGUGCAGAGUUGAGCAUUUAGAAGUGGAGAUGAAAAGUAAAUUAAAAAAAAUAGGAGCUUGCCACGUCAUCAUUUCAUAUUGGGGAUUCAUAUAAGAGUAUAGAUUUUUUUUCAACUCGCACUUACAACCAAAGAAGUUUGGCUUUGCUGUGAAACUACUGGACUUGUUUGAAUGCUAGACAUGAGUAACUUAUCUAAUGCAACUCCUUUUACAUACAAAAAAGACUAUUUGUUAUCUGCUAGGCAAAAAAUUAAAAAUAAAAAGAGAGAAAGGGAGACGAAGAUCUAUUCUAUAAUCUCUACUGCAUAUAUUUCACAUCCGCAGUGCAACUUAUAUUGAUGUUUCAGUAGACGUCAUUAUUUGUAUGCCCCUUGAGAGCUCUCAGUACUUGCUCCGUGCUCUGCAACAGAUGACACAUCAUCAUACAUGCCAGAGAUCAGAUCCUCCAUUAAGAGCUGAAGAGACCGCGGAAUCCGCGGCACAUUCACCUCCAAAACCCCUUCUAAAAUCUGCACCACCUGCUCCAUUGUUGGCCUGUCCAUCUCUGCAUCCUGAAUACACCAACAAGCCACUCUAGAAGCCCUUUUCACCUCCUCCAAAUCGGCUUCGCCACCCAAUCUGCUAUCCAACAAGCACUUCUCGUCGCCCUCGAUCACUUUUUGCGCGGCCCAUGAAGGAUAGUGGUACUUACUGCCCUCCUCAAAGUACGUACUAUUCCUCCGACCGGAUAUUAUCUCGAAAAGCAUCAUUCCAAAGCUAUAAACAUCCACUUUCGGGCUAAUUGGUAAACCGGAAAUCCACUCGGGAGCUAAAUACCCGAUUGUCCCCCUCAUCGUCGUUAAGACUCGGUUAAAAUCUCGACAGACAAGCUUGGCCAUGCCAAAGUCUGCAACCUUUGCUUUGAAGUCGGCAUCCAAAAGUAUGUUACCUGGCUUUAUGUCGCAGUGUAUGAUGCACUCUCGGCACUUGUCGUGAAGGUACGCUAAUCCCCUUGCAAUUCCAAGAACUAUUCUAUAGCGCAUGUUCCAGCUUAGCAUGAUAUUGGAGUCCAUUUUAAACAAAACGGAAUAUAGGGAUCCGUGCGGCAUGAACUCGUAGACUAGAAGCCUCUGGCUUCUCUCACAGCAGAAGCCGCGGAGGCGGAGAAGAUUAAUGUGUUGGAUGGCUCCAAGAGUAAGCACCUCUGCCUGGAACUGCUUUUCGCCUUGUCUGGAUCCCUCGAGCUUCUUCACAGCUACUUGCGUCGAGUCCGGAAGUGCUCCUUUGAAUACCGAGCCAAAGCUGCCACUGCCAAGCUUCUCUGAGAAGUUCUUCGUGGCGUGCCGUAAAUCGCCGUAUGAGAAUCGAAUCAAAGAGCCCUCCACUUUGCUCACGAUGUGAGACUUCCUCCAACGUCUACAUAACCAAAUUAGUCCAAAGAGAACAAUGACUGUAAUACCAAGUAGACCGCCGACUAAGCUUACUGUAACUGCAGUUUUAACUUUGUGUGAAUUGUUUGUACUAGGAAGAUCAGCUGCAGCGAGUCGGAGAUAAAGUGUACCACCUCCUUGAUCACCACCAUAGAACUGCUGAAGAUUUUGAAGCUUGGCCGUCCAAAUCAAACAACUGGUAUCAAAAGAAUAAGCACUACAAGAGCAAUUGGUCAAACAAGCCAUUUCACACUCCUCAGCACUUCUAACUAUUAAUUUCUCCCCAUUACUCGGCAAUCUCAUAUUAAUCAUCAUAAGAAACCCAUCUCUCUCUUCUUCUUCUCCUCCUCUAUUCAAGCUUGAUUUAGUCCCACAUUUCAACUGGGUUUUCCUUUUACACCCCGAAUUCCAAUCAUUUAGCUCCCAUUCCUCCUUUAAUGCUGGCUCAAAUCCCUGGGGGCAUCGACAAAGGCUCGGGCUUUCCUGGUCGCAAAGCCCAAAAGGUCCACAAACAGAGGGCACAUCACAAUGAGAUAGAGGUUGAGUAAACACUGGUUGCCACUCUUGUCUAUUGCUUAGCCAAAUGAAUAGCUUCCCUUCCCCUGACGAGUCCACCACAAGGCGAGUGAUCAUCGAACUAUCUUCAAUAGUAUACGUAGAAUACUUUCGCUCUCGGUUGUCGACGAAGGUGAAGUUAAACACACUUUGUCGUCCAGUUACCGGAGCUGAAGCGAAGUACUGGCCAUUCCAUAGUCCGACACUCCAAUAUACUUGAGACCCAUUGUAUAGUAGAACUAAUUGGUCUGAUCCAUCUGGGUCCACGCUGUAAGAAAAAGGACCACGGGCGGGGUUUUCGGGGUUUUCCCAACAAGUGAUGCUUUGAUACUCCCCGGUAAUCUUGUUAAACCCGAGCCAUCCACCCGGCAUCCAAGUAUCGGCCGGAUGGUCGAAGCUCUGCCAUACGAUCGAUGAAUUCACCUGCAUCAAUAGACGUGACAUUAAUUGUAUUCUAUCUUGUCUUUUUGUGUGUGGGUGGGUGGGUGUGUGUGUGUGUGUGUGUAAGGAUAGCAAUGUACAAUAACAAUGAAAAAUAGAAGAACAUAUCUCUUUUCUAUUUAUUAUGUCCCAUUUAAGGGUAAUUAUCUAUUUAACAAUCAAUACUAAUCAGAGAGAGCAAUCCUUCUAUACAUUUAAUAUUUGGAUUUCGUUCAUUUAUUCUUAUUCAAUAGCUUAGAUUUAUUUUUUAUUUAGUGGUGAUCUGUAAUAGCAAAUUAUAAGAGAGGUACCGGUUACCAGAUACCUCAAAAAAAGGUAAUUUUUGAAUAGACUAUACUUUAUUUUCAAGAUUACUGAAUUUUAUGGAUUAAACCAAGGGCGUGUUUGGUUUGAAAUCGGAGUCAGAAUCGGAAUCAGAAUCAAAAUAAGCUGGAAUCGAAAUCGAAAUGACUCAUUAUCUAAUUCUGUUUGGUUCAUCACCUGAAUCGGAAUCGGAAUAAAUCAUUUCUAUUGUCGGUGUUUGGUUCAGAUGGAUAUAAAAACGUAAUCAAAUUAAUAUACUAACAUUAUCUUUAUAAUAUAUUAAUUUAAAUUCAAAUUAAAUAUUAAAUAUUAAAAAUUUACAUCAAAAUUUU
rnacentral:lncRNA from 1 species